AUGAAUCCCCUAUGUUAUGUUUUACCAAACUUGCACAUGCCUUCUUUACAUGCUUGUGCAUUUACGUAUAGGAAUUGUUUGGAACCGUAGAUGCAUAACCUAGCUCCCUUGAUCUGAACACUAGCUGUUGGACCGAGUAGAUGCUUGCUUAAAUAGGAAACGGUAAAAGCCGAGUGAUGUCCUGUCACUCGCGAGCUGUAGGAGUUGGUUGUUUACCCUUCUGUUACAACUAUAAGGACGAUGGACGGGGCAGGGUUUUGGGUAACUCUUUGGUGGUCGGUUGAUCGCCCCGUCUGUCUAUGAAACGCUAAGGCCCGACAGUGGUGGUGUUCGUGAUCAAGUGUUUGAAAGUACUAAUCUCAUACCUAGUAUGGGAUAGGGAAUACUAGUACCUGAUUGAACUAGGGCGUGGCUUAUACCCCUGUUGUCCCUGGAACGAGGUUCCCAUGGUGCAUCAUGUGGGUGCAGGUGCGGUCACAGUACGGUAGAGACCGAGACUGUGGAGCAUUGCAUGCCAAGGGAAGUUUGGACCUGACACGCGCCUGGGAAUUGAUGGGGACGGUCGACACAGGAAGCGACCCUUGUGGUGCGCGGAUGUCGUGAGAUUAGGUUCGCCAUGCAUGGUUAAGAAACUCGAAUCGAUUCGUCUGACUCUCACAGUUUGAGACUGCUUGAUCGCUAUGUCACCCUGAGUAAAAAAAAAAGGAAUCUGAUGAUGACAUGAUCUUGUUGAUGAUGUAUAUACCCUUUUGUUGGUUCUAUGUUUGUUUGGAAUAGGUUGCAAACUUAGACCGGAUAAUGAACUUAGAACCGGAGCUAAAACUUGAAAGUAGGGAUACACCUAGCGCUUUUGGCAAACAAACCCCUUAGCCAAAAAGCCUUGCAUGUCUAGAAGAGGUAGUUUAGCGCGCUCCCUGUCGGUUAAGUCUUGUUGAGCUUAGUAGCUCAGCCUUGUUGUGGCUCUUCUUUUUCAGGUGAAGUUGCUGCCUCUGAGCCUCCUUUUGCUGGCACUUGGCCGCCCCAACUCCCUCCGGGUUGGACGGUUGAGUGGGAUCCCUCCUCGGACGGCGAGGAGAGGGAUCACUGAUAUCCUGGUUGGCCUCACCAGGGAUGUCCGACCUCGACGAGUUAGCUUCCGCUAGUGGUUUUACCUUUUGUGGUUUUUCUUCUAAUCUUGUAAACUCUGAUGUUGUUUCAUAACCAAACUAAAUGGUUAAUUUGUUAACUCGGUGGACUUGUUGUAUUCUCUGGAACCGCUCACCUUCGUGUGGGUUUGCUAUUCGGUCCUGUUCAAGUGGUUAAAUCGGAUGAAAUCCGACGGCACUUCGUGUUUACUUGGUUUAGGCGUGAGUGUCGCGUAUCAUGCGGCUGAAUCAUGCUUAAUCAAGCAAAUUCGAAGUGGAUCCGGCACAGUACCCUAGGUGGUCUUUUAUGCGGUAAGGGUCGUCGAGAAUCAAGGAAUCAAUGGUGACGCAAGGAACACGAUUUAGACAGGUUCGGGCCGCUAGAUCGCGUAAUACCCUACGUCCUUUGUGUUGGUUUGUAUUGAUCUUAGGGAUUGAUCCUCUAGAGUUGUUGUUGUGUGUCUUGGGCUUGGGUGUUGAGGUAUGACCUUGAGGUCUGACCUGCCGAGCUAGGUACUCCUGCCCUCCUUUAUAUAGUCCAGGGGGCAGAGUACUAGUCGGAUUACAAGGAGGAGUCCUAGUAGGAGUACUCGGGACUAGUCCUAGUCGGAUUACAGGGGAAUCCUAGUAGGAGUCUGACUUCUUCCUUCCUUGCGGGUACUGGGGAUGUAUCCCCGACAGGGUCGGGCUAAGCGAAACAGUGAAACUAGUGGUCGGGCGAAGCGAACUGCACAACAAGGGCUCGGGCGAGGUGGAGAACUGCCUCGAGGGGUCGAGCGCAUCCGACCUUGCGACUCGGGGUCAGCCAAGCUUUGGACAGACCCACAGAAAGGGGUGUGUGGUCACAGCACAAACUCACACAACCUGGCAUCCAAAGCGUGUCGCAAAAAGAGUCAAAGGUCAAGUUAAGAUCUGAUUUCACUGAAGUCAUUGCAUUGUUGUUCCCCAAAACACAGGAGGAAUACUCAACUCAAGGCUAACUUAUUACAUCACUAUCCAAAACUUAGGUUACCGAGGAGUACAACAAAAGAUUAUAUUCCUACAGCUUUCAACCUAUGAGGGUACACUGUGAGUCGGAGAAGGGGUGUCGCCAUCCUCAAUGUCCAUGCUGGACGCUCCCAUGACCUCCACAAGAUCUUCUUGUUCGUCCAGCUGCAUCUCAAGGGCAUGUAUAGCAUCAAGCUCGGCGUGAUGCUCGUCCAAAUGAGCAUUAGCAACUGCUAGCUCCAUCUCGACCUCCAUCUUUUCUUCGGCAAGCUCGAUCAUGCCAUCCACCAGGUCCGUCACUUCUCCCUCGAGCUCGGAGAUUCUAUCUUGCAUGUCAUGGAUCUAUAUGCCUCUCUAGAUGAGUUGAUAUGACUGUCCCACCAAGUCUCUCUUGGUGGCGUUGAAAAGCCCUUGGGUGUCUAUGGCUAUCCGAGACAAGACAGCCAUCGCUCGGCCUUGAAGCUCAAUCAGCCGAUACAAAGCUGACAUGCAUCUGGUGGUGGUAGAGAUGGUGACCAGCGAAUGGGAGGUUGCCAACACCUCCAUGUUGUUGACGCGAUCAAGCCACGCCGGGUCUAGCCGAUCCCUGGCAGGGAACAAGCCGAUUGGGUCUAAGGUGACCUCAAGCGGGUGUAGCCGACAGAACUGGGUGAGGAUCUGCAGAGCAGCUGACUCCCACGUAUCCUCCAGAGCGUGCCCGCAAGUCAAGACUUCGAGCUGGGGCCACUCGGGCUGCAUAGGGGGUGGAGGUACCACCACCUGCACGUUGCACCUCUGUACUCCGUGCUCCUGGUACAUCCGUCCCACGUACAAAGGCGGGGACUGAUACCCAAACCACCUUAAGGUAUCCCACAGAAUAGCAUGAAAACCCUCAAAGUGUAGGCACGUAGAGUGGGAAAUGCCGUCAGCGCCGUACAACACGUGUCCAAGGGCAGCCAUCUGGAACUAAAAAUCGAACCGACGUGAGAUAGAAACUCUAAGAAGAAGAACAGGUCGGGUAGAAAAAGUACUCGGAUUUGACCAAAGCACAAGCUGGAAAGGAAGGUAGAAAUCCUUAAACCGAAGAAGGGCUUUAACCAAGGCAAGGUUGUUUUAGAGAGGUGGGUUCACAGAUUUUAGUUCAUGUCGCAUGCACGGCCUACUUCGUCCUCUCAACCAAAACAACUGCCAAAACUUUGGUCUUACGCAGUCAGUGCCGGUGGCAAGGCAACCAGUACGUCUCUCCCUAUAAUAUCUAGUCGGGUUCUAGUAGCGUCUCCUAAGCGAACGCGGUUAGUGUACCUGCAGAAAACACAACCUCAUGAACCUUUCGUGCCAGCACCCACGAAAGCGUCCCCAAGCAUUACCGUUCACUAUAGAAACGGCACCCAUGCGUUUAAGGCUGCAUGGACAGCACAACAACCGUGAAAAUAGGUCCCCUUUGAAUGGAACCGUAUAACCCUUCGCAUACUCGAGAUGCAAAAUCUGCGCACGUAUAAUAGACGUGGGCGAACAACCGUGAUGAUAGGCUCGUUGGAAUUGAACCACACCACCCUUCGUAUGAAUCAACACACGGAACCUGCACACGUGUGAUAGACGUGGGCGAAACAACCGCGAUGAUAGGGUCCUUUGAAUAGAACUCCCUAUCAACCCUCGCAUACUCGUGAUGCGGAACUCGGCACACGUAUGAUACACAUGGCGAAGUGUUGGGGGUUAGCAAGAUAACCAAUAAGUAUUAGCCACCAAAAAAUAACCCCAAAAUCCCCUAUGGCCUCUCGUACUAAGGUCAUCCUUAUCGGUCGUACGAAAUUUUUCAACAGUUUCUUGCAAAUUUUACUUCAAAAAGAAAGUGUUUAGGACCUAUUGUGUUCUCUGUGCUAAACCUGCUCUGGUACCAGCUGUGGUGGAACCACCUCGGAUUACCUUGAUUAAAGCACGGUUAAGUCGCCUGACACGCGACGCUCAUGCCUUAGUCAAGUUAACUCGAAGUGCCAUCGGAUUUCAUCCGAUUUAACCACUUAAUAGGACCGAGUUAGCAAAACUCACAUGAAGGUGAGUGGUUCCAGAGAAUACAACAGAUCCACUGAGUUAAACAAGUCUGACAAUCUAGUUCAACAUCAAAACGAAAGUCAGAGUUUUACAAGAUUCAAAAGCAGCGGAAAGGUAAAAUGGCGGAAGCUAGCGCCGGGGUCGGAUGUCCCUGAUGAGGCCGAUCAGGACAUCAGUGAUCCCUUUCCUCGCCGUCCGAGGAGGGAUCCCACUCGACCGUCCAACCCGGAGGGAGCUGGGGUGGCCAAGUGCCAACAGGAGCAAACUCAGGAGCUGCGACUUCACCUGAAAAGAGAGCCACAAACAAGGCUGAGCUGCUAAGCUCAACAAGACUUAACCGACCGGUGGUAAAACUACUCCACCAUGUCUAGACAUGCCAGGCUCUUUGGCUGAGGGGUUUGUUUGCCAAAAGCGACUAUGUUAGGUCCUUACUUUCAAUAUUUUAGCUCAGAUUCUAAGUUCAUUAACCAGGCUAUAUUGGCAUCUUACUCUAAGCAAACAUAGAUCCAACUUUAUGUAUAUAAGCUCAUCAUCAAGACCAUAUCAUCAUCAGACUCUUUCAUUACUCAGUGUAGCAUAGCGAUCAAGCAGUCUCAAACUGUGAGAGGCAGACGAAUCGAUUCGAGUUUCUUAACCAUGCAUGGCGAACCUAAUCUCACGACAUCCGCGCACCACAAGGGUCGCUUCCUAUGUCGGCCGUCCCCAUCAAUUCCCAGGCACGUGUCAGGUCCAAACUUCCCCUUGCAUGCAAUGCUCCACAGUCCCGACCUCUACCGUACUGUGACCGCACUUGCACCAACAUGAUGCACCAUGGGAACCUCGUUCCAGGGACAGCAGGGGUAUAAGCCACGCCCUAGUUCAAUCAGGUACUAGGCUUCCCCAUCCCAUACUAGGUAUGAGAUUAGUACUUUCAAACACUUGAUCACGAACACCACCAGUGUCGGGCCUUAACAGAUUCCAUAGACAGACGGGGCGAUCAACCGACCACCAAAGAAGUUAACCAAAACCCUGCCCCGUCCAUCGUCCUUAUAGUUGUAACAGAAGGAAAACAACCAACUCCUAUAACUCGCGAGUGACAGGAAAUCACUCGACUUUCACCGUUUCUUAUUUAAGCAUAGAAACUACUCGGCCCAACAAACUAGUGUUCAGAUCAAAAGAACUAUGUCAUGCAUCUAAGGUUGCAAACAACUCCUAUACGUAAAUGCACAAACAUGAGAAGGAAGGCAUGCGCAAGUUUGAGAAAAUUUGGGGUUCAUGCUCCGGGACUUGCCUUCAAGCGGAGGGGAGGAGAACUGGUCUUCAGCUGGGGCGACUUCGGCUUCUGGAACUGGUAGCUCAGCUACAGCUCCGUCUUCUGGAACCGGGUGUAGCUCGUAGACGCCGUCAGCGAGGUGCAACUCUACACGAAUGCAAUGCAGGAGUUAGUGUUUAGACGGUUAUUUCAACAACACUUGCAGCAAGGCUACAGAAAAGGUGGGGAAGUUUACUUUAGUUGGUGGAGAGCAAGAUAAAAGGGUCGGAUGGGAAGAAACUUAUGAUCUGACCCUUAAACUAGAGGACUAGCUGUGCUGGGGGUCCUCAGACUUAACGUAGAGAAGUCCCCGCUCUUUUACACAGGUACCCUCAGGUCAAGGAAAGGAUACAGCCGAGUCCUCGGGCGAGGCAGGUAAGGGUCGGCUAACAGACAGGGUCGGGCGAGACGGAAAAGGGGUCGGGCGAACAGAUAGGGUCGGGCGAACCGGUGAGGGGUCGGCAGCUUACCUUUGGUUUAUAGGUGAAGCUUUGGGGUCGGGAAGGAGUAGACUUGGGAAGAAGGUCUUAAGCACUAAGGCUUGGGUGGCGGCGAUGUUCGGCGGUACUCCGGCAGCGGCGGAGCUUCUUGUGAGCAACAAGGAAGCUCUAGCACAGCGCGGAGGAGCAGGCGGCUGGGUGGAUUGGAAGGGGCGGUGUUGAGCGGAGAUGAGAGUUCCUCAAGAACUUAGGUGGCGGCGCUCGAGCAUGAAACAGAGGAACAAGGCGGCGAGGCAACGAUGGUGAAGGGAACUCCAGUAGGACUCUAGCAUUCUCUUUUAUAGCUGCGCGGAAGAGAGAGAGAUGGAGUAGCACGAAGACCGGAAGAAAAGGAUGGAGUGCGCUGCCAUGGCGGCGAUUGAGCGGCGAUGGGCGGCGGAACAGGACUUCAGAGAUAGCGUCUUCGGCUAUUGGGCACUGGAGACAAGGCGGCGCAGGCGCGGUUUUGCCGGGGCUGAGAUUUGGCGGAGGCGGGCGUCGUCGAGCGGCAGAUCUGAUUGGUGUGACAGGGACAACGACGCUACAAGCGAGGUUGUAACAGGUGAAAAGACAAGCGGGCUGCGGCUGCGCGGGCGAGCGCGAAACAGCGGUUUGCCGGGCACAUUUCUGGCAAGGCGGACAAGGAACUGUCGCGGCCGGAGUCGGGGUUGGCUAUGGAGAAAUCGUCGCGUAGCGAGUUCGUGGGCGGCGCGACUGUGGAGAGUCGGCGGAAAAGCCGGAAGGCAUCGGGCCUUGCAGCCGGGGAUCCGGUGAGAUGAUGAUGGGCGCGAGCCGCGAGGCGGUUUGACGCAGCAGGCGGCAAAGCUCUGCCACAGCGGCGACGGAGCACCAAGGUGCAGCCGGCGAGGGCGCGAGCGAGACGAGGCGCUGCAGAAAGGGUUGCAGAGGGGCUUCCGCUGCGAUUGGGGAGGAGGGCGCGGGAAUCCAUCCUGUCGCGACCGGCGACUGGGCGAAGCGGCGGGCGUCGGAGAAGUUGAGCCAGGCGGCGGGGGAGCUCUGAAGUGGCACAGGCCGCUCGAGUGCGCUUGCCUCGGGAGGUCUGAGGAAAAGAUUUGCGGGUCCACCGGUCAGUCUCGGUUGUUCCACAGCUCCAAGAUUGAAAGGAGCACUACCUUGGGGAACUCAGAAGGAACCGACGGGGUUGGUUGGGUUCUCAGGGGUCGGGACCGGGAACUGGAGUGGAACACUCCUGCUCGGGAAGAGCUGAGACAGAGGAAUUUGGGACUCGGAUUAAGAUUAACUCGAAGGAUUUGACUAGGGUCGUUCAAUAUCAAGGCUAGUCAGCAUUAGAAUAUCGGCCAAGGUUGGAGUCAUUUGUCCGUGGCUGAAAAGAAAUGCAUUGAGUCGGACCAGAAAUAAGAUGCCGCGAUGAGCAGAGAGUCAUUCCUUUCCAUAUCGGAUAGGGACAGAUUUUAUGCAGUGGCCGAUUUUCUACUCAUCCCAGAAGACUCUCUUGGAAUUCGACAUCCUAAAAAACCACUCUCUCCAAUCGGGAGUUUGAUUCGGCCAAGACUUGAAGGUGUUCGUCCAACUGUCCAAAUCCAUGUUGAUUGUUUAAAUGGAAACCUAUGACUUUCCAAGUUAAUCAGAUCGGUUGGGUCAGGAUCUCCCAUGGGGCCAAGACCGAUGAGUCCGGGGGUGUUGGCCAUGGGGAUGGUAAUUCUCUGCUAGAGUUCCUGGACAAAUGCAAAGAAAAACUAAGAACAGAUCUAGAAAUCGCGAAAAGGUAAAAAAAGAGGGGUUCAGAAAAUUUACCUCAGGGACGAAGGCCAUGGUAGCUGUGGGUGCCGCCAUUGAGACUUGGAAGCCGGUGCGAUCGAUGAAGAACUGGAGAAAGUCACUGGGAUGCACCUAGGGGCGGAACAAGCGAGGGCGUCGGAGUGCGUUGGGUGACGAUUCGCCGGAAAGGAAACCCUUUUCGCCCGAAGGAAGAAGAAGCGACAGAAGAGAUGAGUAUCUGGGGGAUGGCUCGAGAGAGGGGUAAAUAUGGAAUUUUUACCACGUCGUCUGCACUAAUUUCGAAAAGAACAGUUGCUUGCGGGCGCUCUGUUAAAAAAAUGCGAUCAUCAAAGAGAAGAUUUUGGGAGCAAAAAGGGUUUUGCCGCAUUUAUUGUUGCAUCUCUUCCAGAGGAAGGAAUUGGAGUUGAUAAAAUUUCGGAGCAAAAGAUAUGUUUCAUUCCGAAACUGGGGGGCAUGUGUUGAUGCCGGUUUUUGACACGUGUUAGGGUCGGUGUCAAGAAGAGAAGAGAAUGGCCGACGCAGUCAAACAGGAGGUUGUGGCUAGGGAAAUCGGCCGAUAAAACUACAGUGUUUUGGCCGAUUAGCCGACGAAGUCGAUGAAGACUGGCCGAUUGGAAGCUAAGGCAACUCGGCCGAUAUGGGCCUAAAUGGGCCAAGGCAGUAACAAGAUGAAGAUAGAGUUGGCCCAUGGAAGAUUGAUUGGUGUUCAACUCUGAUGCGAGUUGUAUCUGUAUGUAACUAUUUGUUAUUUUGAAUAAGAGAUAAAAUCAUAGUCGGUUAGGAAAUUAGUUGUAACAGGGUAUAAAUAGGCACCUCGUGAGACUUGUAAAACAACAAACAAUUAUCAAUACAAAUCUACUUUUUCAUGCAACCUUUCAAGUCGGCGACUUCGCUAGAUCCUUUUCUUUUCACGAGUUUGUGCGAGUUGGCAGGGCUGCAUCAACACGACCUCCGGCCAAUUUGUAAGUUCCGCGUAUCGAGUAAUAUCUAAGCUUUAACUUCGAGCGCAUCGCUGAUGUUUCGUUUAGAUUUAUUCACUACUUAUCGAUAUUUAUUAGAAUUAUAGGUUUUACCUAUUAUUUUAAUUUUUAUCACCAGUUAUCCAACUUGAGGCACGAACUGUCGGCCAUAUCAAUACUUUAUUUAUUAUCAUACAGCCGAUUAGAUUUGUUCCAAGUGUUGUCUCUGUAGCAUUUUUUAGGUUACUCCAGUAGUUUCUUUUACAAUUGCCACGUGAUCAUCGGCUGUUCCAUAGCCGGUCAUCUUCACAUUAAAUCGGCCAACCCGCUGAUACAUCUUUCGGAAUAGAUCAGAAAUUCAGCCGAUCGAAUCUCUGGAAUUUGAUAUCUUUUCUCCCUUAUCAAUCAACAGGUCAGAUUGACUGACACCUGCGCGAACCGCAUCAGGGCGAUAACCCGAACAGGAGCUAAGCAGAUUCUCCCGGGUCGUGUGUCCGAUGCAGGAGUUAGGGUCACUAUCUGAUUUUUUGCGUCAACAAAAACAAUUAGAAUAAAUAGUUGAGAUAAAAUUUACAAAACAUAUUCAGAAAAGCUAAGCAAAAAAUUCAAGAAAAAUUGAAUAAAAAAUUAUGAACAGAAUUCGAAAAUGUUUUGUACAAAACUCUUGCAACAAAAUCUAGAACAAAAGAGAGAGAAAGUAAACAAAGAGCUAUGCCUCCAUAAGCUUGCCGGCGAGGCCGAUGCUUCGCAUCCCCACGCCGUGCGUCAUGCACAGCCGCUGACCUCCCUGCAAAUCGCUGUCACUCUUUGGGCCUGUCGCCGCAGCCAAGUGUGGUCACUCACCGGGGACGCCAACGCGCUCCUGCCCGCUUCUGCGUAGCGCCGUCGCUACGUGCUCACCCGCACGCCGCCAGUUGCAGCUGCUCGCCCCGAGCUCGUGCGCCGCUAGGGCACCACGCUGCCGCUGCAGGACGCUUCUGAGCCCUCGCAGCUUCUCAAGGUCUGCAGGGAGAGAGAAAAGGCAGAGGGAAUGAGAGAGAGUCACGGGAAAAGAAAUAGGAUAGGUUGGAGUAGAUAGGAGCCUAAUCUUCUGGUGGGGAGGGGAUGGUGGGCCAGCGACCCAGCAUGCAUGCGUGAUGCGUCAUCGACCGGAGGGAGCGGAACGGUCGGUUGUAAAUUCAGCUAUGCUUGUGUGCGCCCUACCUUACAUUACAAAAGCUGAAACACAUCACAAAUUAAAGCUCAAGAAAAAAGAAAAGAAAAACAGUACUACUUUGGUGGGUGUCACACUGUACAGGGAGAGCGCACUGUGAUUAAGCAUGGAUGCAGUUCCCUUCACUUGCUAAAUUUGGUACUGCAUCGGCAGAUACUCCUGUAUGCUUAAACAAGAAGCCGAGACCUGAACUAGCAAUGAUGGCAGUCCUUGUAUAUGCUAGCAGAGAAUGGUUCGGUUCAUCACAUCACAAAAAGGAAUAGUUGCUUGCCUACCCCAAUUGGACGGCAAGAAAUGGUUUUAUAAGGCGUAUCAUCCAUCAAUUAGAUUUUAUGGCCAUAGAAUAUAUUGUAAUAUCCUCUUAUUUUUCUUAUGAAUUACUCCCUCCGUUCCAAAUUGCAGGUCCUUCCAUCUUUUGAAGAGUCAAACCAUUUAUGUUUGAUCAAAAUUAUAGAGAGGAUUAUAAAGAUUUAUGGCACCGAAUAGAUAUACUAUGAAAAUAUAUUUAAUAAAGAAUCUAAUAAUAUUUAUUUAGUAUCAUAAAUGUUAGCACUUUAUUGUAUAAAUUUGGUCAAAUUUGAGAUACUUUGACUUUUCAAAAAAGUUAGAAUAACUUACAAAUUGAAACGGAGGGAGCGUGUACAUAACUCAUCAUUCAUUGUAAUCUAACCUGACCCCUCCUGUUUAAUAACAAAUAAAGAUAAAUCAUUAUGUGGGCUUUAGCUGCAAGACUUGCACAGCUGUGCCACUAUGCUACGGAGUGAUAGGUAACCGUCAAUGCAACACGGCGGUCCACACACGUUGAAUAAGAAAUUUCGUCUCAUGUACUCAUGUCUUUUCAUAGCAUUAAUUGAGUGAAAAUAUAUGAUAGCUAUCUUUCCUAUCUGAUGGUGAAAUGUGGAGGAUACCAUUCAGAAAAUACGACCAAGACUUUGACAGCUAAAACGGAUGCCAUCGAAUGAGAUAAGGACCAGCGACUAGGCAUGAGCGACUAGAAAGCUAGUCGUCCGGUUAGUCAUCGCCUAAUCGUGCUCUAAUCUGCUGCUCCAGCUUUUAUGCUGCUGCCCUGCUCUUGCUCUGCUCUCCUCUUCUGCUCUGCUCUGGCUCUGCUCUCCUCUGCUGCGGUUCAAGUCAGUCGCCAACUGACCAUUAUUUGUGGUGUUGAUGCUUGCCAACUGACCAUUAUUUAUAGUAUACAUAUCAUAUCGGUCUUUAUAUGUAUGGACGACUAGGACCGACUAAUCGCACCUGAUCAACGACUAAUCGCGACUAAUCGGUGCCAUGGCGACUAGGUCCGACUAGACGACUGUAUAACAUUGCUGACGAUACGACCAAGACUUUUGCGUUAGUUGACUGUUGAACGGAAGCCAUCGAAUAAGAUGAGCUGAAUGAAUGCUAUGCUGAUACUGCACUCAUAUCUCAUACGUGCUGAAAAUGGCUGCGGUGAGGUUCCUGCUUCUCCAAGGAACAGUCCUAACCUGGCUGCUUCUGAUCCUGCCCAUGCCCUCAAGUUCCUCCCUUCAAGCUAAGAGAUCGAAUGGGAGAUGCAUCACAAGUGAGAGGGAUGCGCUGCUCUCAUUGAAGGCCGGCUUAUCAGAUCCCGGGGGCCAACUCUCAUCAUGGCAGGGAGAGGAUUGCUGCCAGUGGAAGGGUGUUCAUUGCAGCAACAGAACCAGCCAUGUUGUCAAGCUCGAUCUCCAUGGUGACUUUGCUCAUUCUGAGAACGAACUGGGAGGUGAGAUGAGCUCCACCUUAGUUGAAUUACAGCAUCUGAAGUAUUUAGACUUGAGUUGUAACAACUUCAAUGGUUCAAGCAUCCCAAAAUUUAUUGGCUCCCUUAAAAGUCUUGAAUACCUCAACCUUUCCUGGGCGUUAUUUGGGGGGAGAAUACCUCCACAGCUAGGUAACCUAUCCAAGCUCGUCUAUCUUGAUCUCAACAAUGGGGGCUUAUAUUCAGACAGCCUUACAUGGGUGUCACAUCUUUCCCUAUUGAAGUACCUUGACAUGAGCUCGGCGAAUCUUAACGCCGCAGUAGACUGGAUUCAUGGAAUUAGCAGCCUUCCAUCACUAGAAGUUCUUCAUCUAAGUGACAGCAGACUAAGAAACACAAUUACCAUUCCCAGCCAUUCUAAUCUAACAGCACUUAAGGUAUUGGACAUCAGCCAGAACUACUUUCAUACUGCACUUUCUCCCAGUUGGUUUUGGCACAUAAGGACAUUGACUUAUCUUGACAUCUCCUUAAAUGGCUUCCAUGACCCAAUUCCUUAUCUUGGCAGCUCCUUAAAUGGCUACCAAGGCCCAAUUCCUUAUGAGAUGGGAAAUAUGACCUCACUUGAGCAAGUUUAUACAAGUGGCAAUAAUAUUGGGAGUAUGAUACCACCGAAUUUGGAGAACCUAUGUAACUUGAAGAUUAUGGAUCUUUCAUUGAGUAAUAUCACUGGGGAUAUAGGUGAUUUGAUGAACAGGCUUCCAAAAUGUUCAUGGAACAAGCUGCACGUGUUGGAUUUUUCCUAUAACAAACUGGGCGGGAACCUUCCAAAUUGGUUACAGCCUCUAAAGAACCUGAGUAACUUAAAUUUGUAUGGUAACAAUAUCACGGGCCCUUUACCAUCAUGGAUAGGAGGGCUUAACAAUUUGACUAUAUUAAAUCUUGGUUCUAACCGGCUGGUUGGUGAAAUAAAUGAAGAGCACUUGGAAGCAUUGACAAAUUUACAAGUACUACAAAUGUCUGAUAACUCUCUUUCCAUGAGGGUACACUCGAAUUGGAUUCCUUCAUUCAAAUUACAGGUGGCCAGUUUCAGGUCAUGCCAGCUUGGACCUGCGUUCCCAUCAUGGAUUAGAUGGCAAAGGAAUAUCCACGUUCUUGACAUUUCAAAUGCAACCAUAUAUGACAAUGUACCUGAUUGGUUGUGGGUCGUAGUUUCAACAGCUUCCAUUUUGGACAUGUCAAAAAAUUUAUUAAGUGGCACAUUACCAGCAAGUCUUGAAAUGCUGGCGGCCCAAAUGAUUGACCUUAGUAGUAACAGAUUUGCAGGUCCAGUUCCACGUUUUCCAAGAAACAUACUAUAUCUUGACCUCUCCAGAAACAAUUUAUCAGGAACACUACCAGAUUUUGGAGCCAUGAUGAAGUUACAAACUUUUGCUCUUUACAACAAUUCAAUUUCUGGCAGUAUACCAUUUUCGCUGUGCCUUGUGCAAGGCUUGGAUAUACUAGACCUAUCAGGAAACAUGUUAUCAGGAGAGUUGCCCAAUUGCAAAGGAGAUUCUGGUCUGUACAAAUAUAUGGAAGCACUUAACUUAAAUAGCAAUAAUCUUUCAGGAGUUUUACCGUCAGCUAUGCAGAUGUCCCAAUAUUUAUUUGUCCUUGAUCUUGCAUAUAACCAAUUCUCUGGGAAUUUGCCAGCAUGGUUAGGAGAUAAGUGGCAAAACCUAGCAUUGCUACGACUGCGGUCCAAUAACUUUUCUGGCAAUAUUCCCAUUCAACUUGCAAUGAGGCAAGGGCUUCAAUAUAUUGACCUUGCAUGUAACCGCAUUUCUGGUCAAAUACCUGAGUCCAUAGUGAACUUGAGUGCAAUGGCUCGUUCCGAUGGAUUCAGUUCCCUUGAUGAAGUAGAAGGAUAUGGAAUGGGCCGCGAUUUUGUUGCUACUGGUUAUAUGGUGGGCUCCAUAGAAAUUCCCUUGGAUAUCAAUAGGUCCUUUACAAAGACGAUGUCAGUUCUAACCAAAGGGCAACAGCUUGAAUUAUCUAAAAGAAUGAUCGAGUACAUGGUUAUUAUUGAUUUAUCAUGUAACAAUUUGACUGGACAGAUUCCUCAAGGCAUUAGUGCUCUGGUUGCUUUGAAAAGCUUGAAUGUUUCUUGGAAUCAUUUAAGCGGGAGAAUUCCCAAUAACAUUGGUGACCUCAAGGCAUUGGAGUCCCUCGACUUGUCACAUAAUGAGCUAUCUGGGGAGAUCCCUUCAAGCAUAUCAGCUCUAACUUCUUUGGCCAGCUUCAACCUCUCGUAUAACAAUCUAAGCGGAACAAUACCAACAGGGAAUCAACUUCAGACGCUAGCAACUGAUGACCCGGCAUCAAUGUAUGUUGGAAACAUUGGUUUAUGUGGGCCUCCACUCCCAAAGGGGUGCCCUGGAAAUGGAACACGUAAUUCUCCAGAUGAUGAGCCUGAGCAGCAGGACAAUAGGAUGGUGAACUCCAUAUACCUGAGCAUGAUUAUCGGGUUCAUCUUUGGCUUUUGGGUGGUGUUCUGCAUUAUGUUGUUACAUAAGGAACUGCGGUAUUCCUAUUUCGCCUCCAUUGAUUACUUGUAUCACUUCUUGAUGAGAAGGUAAUUCUUAACAUCGUGUGACACGUAUAAUUAAGCUAUGUACUUGUAGUGUGUGUGUGAAGCACCAGAGGAUGGUUAUUCUCUGUAUAAGUAUUACCGUAUUAGUUACGGUGUGCAUGGUACAAUAAUAUAUCACUGUAUAUAUAGAGAGAGAUUUGUUUAUGUGUGGCUAGUUAUUCUAUAGCCGGACCCAAUAGACCCACGCAACCAACAUCCCAGUUCCACCAAACCACGUUCGCCCGUUCGACUUGCUGCACCCAAAAUUACGCCCCCGUUCCAACCCCCCCCCCCAACCCCCGGCGGCGGCGCGACAUCAUGGUGGCUCUGCAGCGCCUCUGCCACUACCUCCCAUUCUCCUCACGACGGUCGCCAUGGAGCGCGGUAGAGCAAGAACUUCCCAGCCUGUCCGUGGUGUAGCUCAAGCUGUGGUUCCCACUUCCCAGCGAGGUGCUACACGUGGAUCUCGGCGUGCGAGGAUUUGAUGCUGGACUUCUAUCCAUCACACAGCUGGUCCGCGGCCCAUGUGCGGAUGCGAAGACACACAACAGGGACAGCAGUGUGCCUGUGCACGCCAUGUCGCCAUCCAUACUGUGGCUGCAGGUCGUCCAACCGUACCUGGAGUUUUUAAUGUUUCGUUGGAUGCACUUCGAUCUCUUGAUUUGAAUAUUGAUGAUGUGAGAGAUCAAGAUUAUGACAAUGGUUCAAAUAUGAAGGGAGAACAUCAAGGUUUGAAGACACGUUUGCAUCUCAUAGUCUGAAUCUCAUUGUGAUAUGGCAAAAUCUUGCAAGACAACUAUUUCAUUCUUCGGUGUUAAACAAAUGAUAUAUUGUUUGUUUGCACGCUCUACUAAAAGGUGGAAAAUUUUGACUGAUAAUAUUGAGAGGUUUAUUGUCAAAUCCUUAUCUGAUACUCGUUGGGAGAGUCGAAUAAAGAGCAUGCAACUUAUCAGGUAUCAAGCUCCACAAAUAAUAUCAGCAUUGAAGAAAGUGGAAAGAACUGCUACUGAUGACCUACAAACAGUAAGUGAUGCUCAAUCAUUGGUAACUGCACUUGAGAAAUUUGAAUUUAUAGUUGGUAUGGUUAUCUGGGAUGAUGUUUUAUCUACUAUCAACAUGGUGAGCAAAAAGUUACAAUCUAAGAUUGUGUGCUUAGAUGCUACUCUCAAGCAAAUUGAAGGGGUCAUCUCAUAUUUCCAAAAGUAUAGAGAAGGCUUCAAUGCUAGUAUUGAGACCGUAAAAUCCAUUGCAUCUAGGAUGGACAUAGAGCCAAAAUUUCCUACAAAACAUCAAAGUAAAAGAAAGAAGCAUUUUGCUGAACAAAAUGAUGAGACUAAAGAAUUACAACUUUCAACUAUAGAUGAGUUCAAAGUUAGUUACUCUUAGUUAUUGUUGAUGUUGCAAUUGCUUCAUUGACUAGUCAAUUUGAACAUGUAAAGAAAUUUGAAGAAAUAUUUGGUUUGUUAUUCAACUCAGAAAAUCUGAAGUCCUUGGAUGAUAACGAUCUACGAAAGUGUUGCACUAGUUUUGCAAAAUCUUUUUCUCAUGACAACAAGUCUAAUGUUGAGUUGGAUGAUUUUUUCUCUGAAUUAAAACUGUUGCAAGUAUCUUUGCCAGAACAAUUGAUGUCAGCACUUGAGAUUCUUCAGUUUGUUAAAGCUGUAGAUUGCUACCCGAAUGUCUCCAUUGCAUAUCAAAUUCUCUUAACUAUUCCAGUGACAGUAGCAUUAGCCGAAAGAAGUUUCUCUAAAUUGAAACUAUUGAAAAAUUAUUUGAGAUCAACCAUAUCACAAGAAAGAUUGAAUGGCUUGGCUAUGUGCAGCAUUGAGAAGGAUAUUUUGAACGAUAUUAAUCUAGAUACUAUUUUUGAUGAUUUUGCAUCAAUAAAUGCCUGAAGACAGUUUUUUACAAAGCAUGAAGCAUUAUAUUUUUAUUUGAGGUAAUCAUAAUGGUUAUUAUUUUUAAGUUUUUUUAUUAUUUUAUUAGCUAUACAUAUAUUGCAAAGUAAUUUUAAUUAUUCGUACUAUAUACUUUAGUUUUGAUAUUAAAAAUUAGUUCAACAGUCCUUAUCUUUAUGCUUGCCCAAGGAUCCUUAAAAUUAUAGAGCCGGCCCUACCGCCAUUUCAGCCCACUGUAGGUGGUGAAGGGUGGGUGCACAGAGUUUGGAGUGCACGGUAAGCAAAUUUUUUGGCUACAAUCCCUUCUAAACAUGGUCCUGCAUGGUCAUCUCGGCAGAUAAACUGUUGGAAGGUGCACGCAUGCACGCUUUUGCACUUGCAAUGAUGGCAUGGCUGGGUUCAGAUGAUCCCAUCAGAGAAAGAGGGAGACGGCUAGCUUGUUUAUUUGGAGAUACAGAGAUCAGUAGAUGCUGCUCUUUGUUUAAUUCGGUCCUCAAUCAUGCAGCCGUAAUCAUGCAUGGUGCCAUAACUUGAUCUCUUUUCUCCAAAGAUCCCUUCUUCUGUACUGUUGGAGUUACACUGUACUACAUUGAUCUGUUCCGCAAUUCCGUUAAAAAAAGAUGUGAUUUGUCUCAGACUCUGUUGGACUUCGUUUGUAUUGAAAAAGAGGCGCGGUGGUUCUGUUUGUGUUACGCUUGAUUAUUUGCUGCCGACAGUUUAUAGACUACAGCAACAGUUGGUUGAGGAUUGUUCGCCGCCGGAUUAGGAGAUGAACCCUAUGCAACCAAACUCUACCAUCACGUCAUCAGAUCCUCGUGCGCUGCUGCUGAUAUCUUCCAGCAUCCACGCCAGCUUAAUUGUUGAUCUGACUAGAUGUGUGUGUGAUCGGUCAGGUGAUGAGCCUGAUGAGGCCCCCGGGCCAAACGAAAGGUGCUCAGAAUUAUUGUGUCACCAGGCACACGUAACAGCCGAUCGACAAGGACAGUGCAGGGGGAUCCAUCCACCUGUACAUCUCGUCGAGCGAGCAACAAAGUAGAGCUCUGAUUUUAUGAGGCAAAUCAGAGCGUCACCGCCCUUCAUGCACUGUGCCAGUGUCGUACGAUCCUUGGAAUAGCCCGUGCAUGUAGGAUGGAAUUCUCGUAUGGAAUCAGAUCCGGAUAGCACUUUUUACCAUAUUUUAAGUUAAAUACGAACUCGCAUUCGGAUGUUUUCAAAUACGAAUACAAAACAAUGUCUCGAAUUCGGAUAUUCAUCGGAUAUUUACUCGGUUUGAAGAUAACUUUUACCUAUUUAUUUGUUGAUGGUUUUUAAUAACAAAACUUUUAUACAAGUAGAGACUAAAGUAUGAGUACCUAACUAGUGCAAACAAAAAUCGCUCAUGAAAAUAUUACAUUAAUUAAUAAUUCUUUGAAAUAGUGCAAUCUAUGAAAAAAUAAUAUAUGGAUAAAUAUAUAUUUCAAUAAAUAUAAACAUUUAUCAAUGAAUAAUAAAAAUUGUAUAAAAAUGUUUUUUUAAUAAAUAGAUAAACUAGAGUAUUUAAAAAUAAAAUUAAUACUCACAUAUAUUUAUUAUUAAAUUUAAUGACAUUGGUCACUAAAAUUAGAGAUAAAUUUUAAAUAGUUUUAUGGGUACAAUAUUAGUAAUAAUAAAAUUAAUAUAAUUACUAUUAGUUAUAAAGAUAAAUUUGAAUAGUUUUAAUGAUAUACUGUCAUUAUUAAUAACAGGAACAGUACCACGUAAAAAAAUACAAAAAGACUUACAAGACUAUCAGAGGCACACAGCUUAAACUCUGGAAACAGAGGCUCCAAACUUCACAAGCACUCGACUGGGGGUUGCGUACGCCUAGAACUCAGCAUCAUCUUCACAACUUCACACACCUUCUUCUUUUGAGCAGCAGUAAGCAAGGGUGAGUACACUUAUGAUUGGUACUCAGCAAGGCCACAGGAACUAACCGGAAUAACGAUUUAAUCCAUCUUCAAGUUUAAUUAAUUAUGUGAGGGUCCAGGCCGCUCUUAACCGUGAGCACGGCUGAUAUAUCAGUUUUACACUCUGUAGAGGUUGUACACCUUUACCCACAAGUCGUGUAAAAGUUCAGAGAACAUUGGACCCAACCAUGCUGUGCUGAUCAGGCACAAUACCACACUUUAGAUGUGUGAUUGAAUAGGGACGCUACGAGGCCUUUAUAAAGAUUCCCUAGUAAGUGGUAACCCACUAAGGUUUCCGGAGCAGUAGUAGAGCAUAAGCCACCCUAGUAGGUGUAGUGUCUUAGCAAAACACACUCCCAAAGAGGAUCGAGUUAAACUGCCGCCCCUCUUGCUCUUUCGAUAAGAUUACCCCACACUAGAGUCUCUAAUUAAUUAGUCAAGACCAAAGCCAUGAUAGUUCUUGUGGUUGUACUGUUUUUCCAGGUGGUUCUCCAUGUUCCAAUUAACAUUAUCAUGAUAUUGUGAAACAUCGGUAGAAGAAUGGUUAGGGACACUUGCCUUUUGCCAACGUAAAGUUACUCUUACUACUCUUUAGAUCUUGCUUUCUUGAAACUCUUAACUUUCAAAGCUUCGAACGGCGAUCCUUCUAAUUGAAGAAAACAUCAGCACUAACAAACAAACAAGUACAACUAAGAACAAUACACCAAAACAAAAGAAAGGCUUCAAAAGAGCAUACUAAGGGAUAAGGCUCGAUCUAAGGAUCACGCAAACGCAGGAAACGCUUAAAACGGAACUAAGGUUGACACAACAAAACUAUCAAGAGAUUUGACGUAUAAAAGAAAAGACAAGAGCUACUUGCUACAUUUAUUUUAGUUGAGAAAACAAUUUAAAGAUAUUUCAAAGAAAUACCUUUAGUUGGAAUUAAUUAAUUUAUAUUUGUCUAUGAAAAUACGGUGUGAAACUUAGGAAAAUUUUAUUUGCAAAUAUUUAUGUACAAGUUAUACAAAUUAAACAUUUAAUUUGAAAAUAAAGCAUAUAUGAACAUCUAAGCGCAUAGCUUUAUAUUUCAAGUUCAACUAAGCAUAUUAUAUUAAAAAAACAUAUUUGUAUUAUAUUAGCCAAAUUAACAUUUAAUUAUGAAAAUUUGAGUUAUAACCUAUGUAGCUUUUAUUUAGAAGACAAAUUGAAUACAUAUUAAUCAAAUUAAGUUUGAUUUAAGAAAAAAUGAGGCUUAUUUCUAAAUAACUUUUAAUUGGAAGAAUUAUUUAAAUAGGUGUUAAUCAAAUUAUCUUGGGUUUAUAAAAAACCAAUGUACAACCUAAUUGGCAUUUAUUUAGGAAAGGAUGUGAAAUAAGCAUUAAUCAUAUUGAUGUUUAUUAUGAAAAAUAGUGGAUAACUCUUUGUGACUUUUAUUUAGAGAAGACGCAUAUUUAUUAGGCAUUAAUCAAAUUAAUAUUAAAUUUAUUUUUGAAGACAUGAAAUGUUGGGCAUCAACACUACUAACGUGUACUUUAUGUUGUUAAGAAUCUAACGCAACUUGAACGGAUCAAAAUGGAGCUAAAACGUGAAAACUACGGGUUAAACAAGGUUCUAGGGACUUAAACGCGAUUAACCAUAAACUACAUGGGUUAGCAGAGAAGAUUACCAAGACUCAGAGAACAGAACUCACGAAAAGGUGGAACUUUGGGGUUAGAUCUGCAAAAAGCCACGGCAUGGAUUAGAUUGAGAGAUACUAAAAAGUUCAAGGGGUUAUCUGAAGUUUGUUCAAGGGACAAAGAUUAUAGAAGGAAUUACACAGAUGGUCAGGGGCUUCACGGCAAAACGACCUUAUCUCUUCUUCUAUCUCCCAAUGCCAUCCUCAUGCUUCACGCCGGCGCACCAGGGGCGGCAUCGGCCGGUGGCUGCCGGUGCCCUGGCACGGCGGAGGCCCGGGCGAGCGGUGCAGGUGGCGGAGAAGGACGAGAGGAGCUCGACGAAGGGCUCACCGGCGACGCGAGAGGGUUGUGGCGGCGGCAACGGCAGGAGAUGCGGCGGCGGGUGGACGGUGUUGCCGGCGGGGCAGCGAGGUGUGGCGCAGCAGGGAAGGGAAGUAGCGGCCGGGGCAUGGGGAGGCGCGGCGCAAUUUAUAGAGCAGAGGAGGGAGCCGAGGGGGCGUUUGGGAGAGGAAUCGAAGGUGGCAGCGCCAUUAAUGGCAAACUUGAAGAGCCGGUGGAGGGGAGAAGGUGGGCGGCGGCCAUGAAUGGGACCCGGUGGUGGAGCGGCCGUUUCGGGAGAGGAAACGAGGGGGCGCGCGGGAGACGGAGGGUCGCCGGGAGUCCAGGCGAUGCAGGAGCCGGAGGUCACGGCGGCGCAGUUGGGCGCUAUCGCCUGCCAGAGGAAGAAGAACUUUCUGACAGUGGGGCCCACCGGUCAGCAAAGCAAAGAGAGAGGGAGAGAAGGUGGGCCGAUGGAAGACAAGAUGGGCCGGGCGAGCGGCACGGGCUGAAGUCGGCCUGCUACGGGAGGAGGAGAAGGGAGGGGGAGAGGUGGCUGUUGGGCCGGCAGAAGCGGCUUGGGCCUGCGGGAGAGAAAAAGGCCGGUGGCCUGGAAAAGAAGGUAGGCCGCGGCUUGGCUGGGCCGAUAUGGGUCGGGCCCAAGGUUCGGCCCAAAGGAAAAACAUUAUUAUUUCAGAAAUCAUUUAGCGUUUGAAGAUAAAUCCAGAUAAUUCUAGAUAAAUCAUUUAAACCACGAAAAAUGUUUUGAAAUCCCAAAAAUUCCAGGAAAAUUCCUAGAGACAUUUUGGGAUAUGAGGAAUCCAAAUAAAAUAUUUGGAGCUCGUGAAAAAGAUUUUAGAGCCUUCCAAAAGAAAUGAGAUUUAGCUCUAGGAAAAAGGAGAAUAAAUUCCAGAAAAACUGGAAAAUUCUCAGGAGAACUUGAACAACGUCUAAAUGCAUUUUAAAAAAUUUUCUCUUAUGAAACACCAAGAUGCAUCGCCAUGAAUGCAUAGACAGAGAACAACAUUAUUCAAUUUGGAAAAACAAACAAUUAUUUCUCCUAUGCUAAAUUUCUUGUGAAGAAAAAUAAAUGUUGGAAAAUUUUUAUAGAAAAUCAUUGCUUAAUUAUUUCUUUUAAUCACAUUCUGAAAUUCAAAAAUUUCAGGGUGUGACAACACUACCCCGUUUAACAAGAAUCUCGUCCUGAGAUUCGCAAAGGCUAGCAAGAGACAAAGGUUUAGGUGGGUGGCAUCCAACACUUAUAAACUUCCUUCCAGAUCAUUUAUGCUUACAUAAGCUUCUCAAUCAUACUUCUUUAUUCCUUACAACUCACAUAAAGACAGGAACACUUCAGGGAUAUGUAGUAUAAUCCAACUUUUGAAUAUCCAUUUUUUUUUGUUCGUUAGCCCAUCUUUGAAGAAUCUUUAUUCCUUUCUUGAUAAAGUGAUUUGAAUAGAGCUUGAUGUCUUCUCUCUGGCUUGACUGUCGCAUAUCAUUCUUCAAGUCUUCAGACCACUAAUGUCUUAGUUUCCAAAACCUUCCAGUAUAGUGAUAAAUAUAAACCAACCAUACAAUCCUAGAUGUUCCGAAACAUUCUCAGUCUUUAGCUGCAUUAUCUUGCCCGUUCUGACUAUGAGCCUUCUUCUCCUAUUUGGUCCAAAUGCUUCUUGGGGCACUGUUUGAUGAGAUGUCCCUCUUCAUUGCAGUAGAAAUAUGCUUUUCUUGCUUUGGUACCUUGGCAACUGGAUAUAGUAUGAGAAUUGAGCAUUGUAAAUUGAGGGCAUUCUUUUCUGACUGAGGCAUCCUAAUCAUUCGUCUUGACAAAGAGACCAACUGAUGUUGUCGGGUUGAUUGCAGGGCUAUUAGAUCCUUUGUCCUGGGGUUGAUCAUCCUUGUGUUUUGCACACCAACUAACAAGAUGUCCGUUUUCUCCACACCUGAGGCAAUCUAAUUCGGCUCUAACAAACCUGGUGAGCAUAAGCUUUAGUGGACAGUUAUAGGCAUAAUGACCUUUUUCACCGCAUCUGUAGCACAAUCUUUUAAUACAUCCAUAUUAUCUUCCUUUCUGCUCUAUAGUAACUCUCGGUGGAAGUUGGGAACGUAUAUGGUGGAAACCAUCUACCCCGUGCAACCUUGGAAACUAUCAAUCAAGGACACAAGAUGCUAAUCCAAUGGUGGGAUUAAAAAGGCCCGCCAGCUCCUUUUCCGAAUCCCCCCUGCAGCCAGGCGUCCAUUUCCCCAUGCACCUCUAACCCUAUCCAUUGGAUUAGCAUCUUGUGAUCUUGCUUGAUAAUUUCCAAGGUUGCACGGGGUAGAUGGUUUCCACCAGAUAUGUUCCCAUGAAAGUUUGCCCCCAUAUGCCUCAUGUACCACCUACUCUUCAAGUCCAGCUACUGCACCAUCCUGAAACGCUCCACGCUGCUAUUCUGUAGGUCCUUGAUUGCUUGUAGAAUGCUUUUGUGCCGAUCAUGAAUUACACAAACACCCUCCACGUCCUUCACAAUCAUCUGCUUAACCCUCUCCAGGAACCAAUACCAACUAUGAAGCGUCCCCACAUAAGUAGAGACUAAAUGUGAUACAAAUAUCAGUCCUAGGAGGCUGAUAACACAUUUAUUCGACAGAUAAUUCAGUUACCGUACAACUCCCGAGGGAGUGGGCAUGAGAGCCACGCAGCGAUAAGAAGUAAAUAAACAACAACGGCUAACCAAGCGACUGCCAACAGACACCACUCGGGACUACACGGCAGUAGCAGUAUCUUGGAAAGGCCAACACCACAUGCAGCGUUGGGUGCGGACACAACCUCUACUCGAGGUCCUCGGUGAUGAAGUCCUGAUCUUCCUCUGUAGUAACGAGGCAAGGGUGAGUACAAAUGUACUCAACAAGUCCAACCACAUCCACGGAGGGGGAUACAAACAAGUAUAUGCACAGGAGAUGACAAGGAUAGGCUAAAGUCCAUUUGCGGGAAAGCUAGAUUUUUAACACAUGCAUGGGCUUAUUUUCAAACGAGUUUUUGUAAAGCUGUUCUUUAGUAACCGAACAUGGAGUGGGGUUGAUCCUACACAAAGGAUCCAGGUUUUAUCGCUGUCGGACUCCCCAUCCGCCAUAGCACACGGCACAACUGCCGGACACUUCCAAAAUCCAACACACACACACACGCGCGCGACAACCAUCCAUGCCCAAGUGCUAGUUAUGUGACCAAGCCGUAACUCAUCCAAUGCCGUGGACACGGCUACCCGGAUAGGUUUUAACUCUGCAGAGGUUGUACACUUUUCCCACAAGUAGGGUACCACAACACGAUCACCAUAGUGCCGGUACGGAUCCUAAGAAAGCCAUUACCCACCGUAGCUGAGACUGGCUAGUCCUCACGGAAGUACCCAAGGGGUUCACGGCUCGCCCAUGAGACCGUAACCAGGACCUAAGUCACCAAGAUCUUACUCCUUUUCCAUGGGUUCCCGUUGCUCACCAGCACCCCUGAAGACUAACAGUUUAGCUAGUGGGAUUUAUACUAAGCCGUUGCCCAUACAACGGUCGAGUGGUUGCACGAUGGUGGAAUUAGGCAAGAUAACACAUCAACUCGGUCCUUAACCAUGACAAGAUGGAUAUCUCCCGACAUCGCUCAACCACUAAGGUACGAGCACAACAUCCUGGCAUUUCACACAAGAAACACCCAUCCAUCUCGUCUACACAUCCCUUUCCCUCGAACCCGGAAAAACCAUUUUUCCCAAAUGAACACACACACACACACACUUACUUUCCAAGUAAACCAUUGUAAUAAUGAUUGCAGUCGAGUAGCAAUUUCCUAAGUAUUCUAGCGGUGGUUAUCGCCUAAAUAGAGCGGGUCAUAUUUAGAGACAACCAUAGGAUAACAAGGAAUGUUCAUAACAAUCAAGGGGUGGCUAUCCAACCAUGUCUUGCAAUAAAAUAAACUUAUAUGCAUUUUAUAAAACAGGCCAAUAGGUUGUGUUUGAAAACUAGGUAUUAAGUAUGCAUCAAAGGGUGAGAUUGGACUUGCCGUCUUCAAAGCCUUCCGGGAGUUCCAGCUCGUGCUGUUGGUCCUCGGGCUCGGGCUCGCGAUCAAACUCCUCCUCGGGCUCCUCCUCGGGUAAUCCACGAUCUACGGCACACACAAAUGGACACACAAAUAAAUAAAAGAAAGUUGGUUUUUAACCGUUGAGCUCCAAACAGAAAAUGCGAACGGAAAAUAGGUAGAAGUAGUAUUUUUGGGAAAUUUGGAUAUGGAUCAGCGGAAAUAUUCUGGAGGAUGACGUGGUAAAAUUUAGGAUUAAUUGGAGGAAGUUUGGCGCAUGAAAUGACGAGUUAAACAGGGAUUAGGGGCUUAAAAGUGAGGUUUAGGACUGAUUUGCGAUAAACUAGGGACCUAUUUGUGAAUACUCUUGGAGGUGGAGGGGCUUAUCCGCGAAUAGGUUUAUGAGAGUGGUGGAAGGACUAAUCUGUAAUUUGGCAAAAGUUGGGGGUUAGAUCGGAAUUUUGUGGUUUCUUCUUCCUUCCUCUCUAGGAACUUGGAGAGGGGGAGAGAGAAGGUGGGGCCGGCGGCGGCCGGCCGGCCGGGCCUUGCCGGCGGCGAGCCGGGGGCUGGGGGCGGCGGAGGAAGGGAAAGGGGGCCCCAUUUUGCCCCUUACCUUGGAGCUUCGGAGAGGGAAGGGGGCGGCCGGCGGUCGUUCGGUGGAGGUGGCGUUUGGGUGGAGGAGUACGGGCAGCGGCGGCGGCUCGGCACGAGCAGCGGGUGGAGGAGGUCGGGCGGGGGUGCGGUGCGGCUUGGGGAGAGGGUGGCCGGGGCGGCUCCCUUUUAUAGCCGGCGAGAUGGGGGCGGCCGGUGUCGCGGUGGGGCCGGCGAUGGCGUGCGGCGCCGGAGGGCGGUAGGGGCCGGUGGUGGUGUGCGGCGGGCGGCGUCGUGGAGCGGGGCCGGGGCGCAGCGUGGCGGGCACGCCGACGGGCUGGCCGGGGUCGGCAGCUGCGCCAGCACCGGCGACGUGCGGCGCGCCUGCCGGGGCCGAGCGGGCCGACGCAACGCGUCGGGCGUAGGCGCGGCAGGGCCCGGGUGCGCGGGGUCGAGGCGGCAAGGCGCCGGAGCGGCCCAGUGGUCGGGGGAGUUAAGGCCCGGGGGGGUCCGGCUAGGGGUGGCGGUGGAGCCGACCGGGAGGAGUGGCGCCAGGAAGAAGAAGGAAGGAGAAGAGAGAAGAAGGAAGGAGGGAGAAGAAAGAAGAAAAAGAAAGGAGAAGGAAAAGGAAAAAUAAAGAAAAAGGGAGGAAAAAGAGAAAGGAAAAGGGGGAGACCGGCGGCGUUCGCGGCACGCGGUCGGAGCACGCGCGCGGCAUCUGGCGACGGCACGCGGCGAAAAUUACGGGCACGGAUAAAAUGAUGGGGGUCGGCUUGGGUGCCGGGACAGCGAAAUCGCCGGGAAGAUUUUUGAUUUCCGGGAGCUCAGCGAUGAAAAGAUUUUAAAAGUGAUUUUUAACGGGUGAUUUUAGAUUGGUGAUUUUGCGGAUGUUACAAACUAUCUCCUGACUCUUUCUCCAUAAAGGUGAUCGCCAGUGGCAACACCUGAUUGUUACCAUCGGACCCAAUAGCUGUUAAGAUUGUGCCUUUAUACCUUCCAGUCAAAAAUGUGCCAUCAAUGCAAAUUACUGAGUGACAUCGCUUAAAAGCCUCAAUGCAAGGACCCAAGGCCAAGAAUGACCGCUGCAGAACAUGUUUGCUUGGAAACUGAUCACAGGGAUAGGAUUUCAGGUCAUAGUAGCUUCUUGGGUUCCUCUGGCAUAUGGUGUGCAACAAGGUAGGGAGGUUAUCAUAAGAUGCUUUGUAUGUGCCUUACUUCAUCUCCAAUGCCUUCUGCUUGGCUUGGUAAGCUUCGUGGUAGUUAAUCUUGUACUUGAACUUCUCUUCUAUACCACAAACAAUCGACUUGGGCUCGUAGCUAGGAUUCUCCACUAUCUGAGGAUACAUGUAUUGAGCAUCAAAAUCAGCAGUGAGGUUGUGGUGUUGUCCUUCCAAGUCAUCCAGCAAGCAUUGGUGCUCCACCACUCUAGUCACCUCCCAGUAAUCCUUCCACUUCCCCUUGUAUGCGUGCACCCUAAACAUGUGAUUGCUUCUGACAGAACACAAAUCAUACACUGUCGGGUUGCUCUUGACCAACCUGAACUGUUGUUGCAAAGAUAAAGUGGACCAUCGCUUCACAGCUGCCUUCACCUCAUCCCCACUAGGAUACAAAGCACCCACACAAAUCUCAUUCUCCUUGUACUCCCGAGGGACAUUUUCCCCUACAUUGACGUGUAGGUUGGAAUGGUCAUAAGUUGACUAGUUCCGCGGGAUAGGAUUAGCAUCAUCCGAUGAGUCAUCAUCCAUGGCAUCAUGGUUCUCUUCUCCUUCCCUCUCCACCUAUUCAACUAACCCAGGGAUGUCUUCCCUCUCAUCAGCCUCGCCAUUUGGCUCACAGGUUGCAUAUUCAUCCUCUGCAUCUCUUUCUUCUACCCCAUCUUCAUUAUUUUCUUCAGUUUGCUCAUCAGUACUCUCCACACCUUCCUUAGCUCAAGCAAAGAUGUGAAUAUCCUUAGCUAGAUGAUCAUUACCCUUCAUUCUUCUCUACGUAUGGUUUAACUUACAUGUUAACUUAGUGACAUCGAGCUAAUCACCAUGAGUGAGUGUCAGAUGUUCAAUCACAUUAUCAAUAAUAGGCCAGUGGAAUGGCAAGUGCAAAUCAUGCAAUAAUCACAUCCUGUAUCCCAAAUCCUAACCAGUUACUACCUAUAGUAAACCUUAUUCUUUGUGUGCAUGAACUUACAUCUCAACUUAUUGAGGUUGCAGGUUGCUACGAAAUUACUACUUAUUGGUAUAACACAAGUGGGUUCACAUGAUGAAUUAGGCCAGUACACUGUCAUGUCAUCUAAUGAUAUGGCCUCUUUCCAAAAUUCUGAAUUGCACAUAAAUUUUGUAGACAGAAUAAUUAGCAUGAGAAACUGACCUUUGGAAGUCCACCAAUUCCUAAAGCUGUGUCCAACGUGAAGGAUCCCAUGGAUAUGACAGGAAUUCCUUUACAACUGUAAGCAUGAUUUAACCACAUUAUUGACUCCUCACCAAAUGCAAAUGUAAUUUGGUCAAGAGCUUGCUGAAGUGCAAAGUCGUUUUGCUUAAUAUUUUUCUUGCCAUGUUCUUCUGCUUUUGAUUGUUCUCUCCCUAACAAGCAGAUAAUAAAACAUUGUGUCAGUGGAAAAAUCAUGACUGAAAUAAUCCGUAAAUCCAAUGAAACUUAACACAUGAGAUCCUUUUUGUUAUUUUAAACACAGGUUCGAAAUAUCCAAAAUCCAUAAGCAAACAUGAGCAUCGUACAAAAUUAGACAGGAUAUAGAAGGUUGGAAACCAAUAACCACCAGUAGCAGCCAUGUUCCCGUCCCGUUCCCAGAACGUGGUAUGACACUUAUGAAAGGUUUUUACAUUAAAUUGUUCCCAUUCCCGGAACCCUGUAGAGAGGCAGGAUUAGGGAGAACACAACACACCCUAACGAGGGGGGUGACCUUUCAUAUAUAGCCAAUAUAGCUUGGUAUACAAGGUAAUACAAUCAAGUAUACAUGGAAAGCGUAAUCAGCUAUAAAAUCUCUAAUAUUCCCAUCCCGGAACGACGUUCCCAAAAUGAGGAACGUGGCCACGUUCCAAGUUCCCGGCUGCUAGCCAGUCCACCACAUGCGUUGCAAUGUAUAAACAGAGAAAUACAUUCAAGAGAAAGCACACAGCAUGUAAUGUUAGUCCAAAGAAUUUUACUAACAAAAAUUGCAAACAACAUUUACGGUUCUACCAACUUCGCCCAAUUUUUAUGCUGCAUUCUGAAUAGAAUUUACGUAUUGUCCUUGCAACACAAGUCGUAAAAAUCAUUGGGUUUGUGAUAAAGUUUAGUUAGCAAUUAAGAAAGUAUUACUUAAGUUUCUUCAGCCUCAUGCAUAGUUUCCCCCUUUGCAUGACGCCUCUAUCUCUGUUAAUUUUAAUAAUAAAAAAUAUAUCCAAUGGCUAUUAUUAAUAACAAUGCUUAGAGUCUAAUAAAUUGAUGAACAGAUGUAUGUAAUUUUUUACAUGUAGGUUUCAAAAGGAUUUGCACAUGGUUUGGAAUUUCGUUUGCGAAUACAUGGAUAAUAAAUUUCUGUGAAAUGCUUAUUGAUUGAUACAGUUUUAAUGUAUUCCUAUAUAUUGUUAAAAGCCUUAAACGAACAAUUUUUUUCUCAUUCAUAUAUGCAUUAUAUAUGUGUGGCUAUUUGUAGGAUAAUAAUUUUUAUCAUUUAUUGAAAUAUUAUUAGUACAUAGUCGAUAGAGGGACCUAAAAUAAUUCAUGAUCUUUGAUUUAUUCAUAUGUUUUUUUUGUCUAAAUCCCACUUCUUCAUAUGAGAAAAUCAAUGGGUACUGAUAGAGAUGGAGCGCAUAUGCGGUUCUGAAAUUCUUUGUAGGUGUUUAUCAUUAUUUUCCACUACCAUAUCUAAUUCUAAAGCUUCAUCACUUUGAUCUCCAAAAAUGAGUGCUGGAAUUUUCUAAGGUUGUUGGAAGGUUACAUCAUGUUCCAUUUCUUGAUAUUUCAUGCAAUAGUCAUAUGUUGAAAUUUUCAAAAUCUUAUUCUCUGAAUCUGUCGCUUUCCAUGUGAAAUGAUUUGACCAAAUUAUUAUUCCCAUCCAGCCUAUCCAACAAUUCAAACACUAUGUUUGCAUCUGAUUUUUGGUUGUUUGUCUUUGAGGUGGACAUAGAUGCAUGUAAUAUAUUUUCGGCCUCAUGUUCUGAAUCAUAAAUGUACAGAUGAGAAAAUUAAGACUCUCUGAUGUUCUGACUGUAGUCUGAUGAUUCUCCCCUUCAAUCCUAAUGAAAUAGUUACUGAAGUAAUGCUGGAGGCUUUUGAGAGGUGGCAGCUUCACAUUCGGUGUUUACGGCGGAGUCUUAAUUUCUUUUUUGAAGGGACAGAUUCUUAAUGUUGGCCAUGAUUUGUUUCUUUAUUGAUGCUACAUAUAGCUUCACAAUCUUUGCAUAUAUAAGUGGGUCUUCUGAAGUUUGAAGAUUCCGUUGGUGAACAUGUAGCUCACUACCGGAAACAGUAACUUUGCCGAGUGCCCCAGGCACUUGGCGAAGGUCCAAAUUCACUCGGCAAAGGGUUUGCCGAGUGUAACACUCGGCGAACCCUACUCGGCAAACUUUCCCUCGACAAACAAUGUGUUUGCCGAGUGUCGAUCGUCGGGCACUUGGCAAAGCCUUUGCCGAGUGCCAGAAAACACUCGGCAAAAUAUAACACUCGGCACAAAGGCGAUAACGGUAUGUGACGGUAACGGCUCCUUUGCCGAGUGCCAGAUGGCCGACACUCGGCGAAGACUUAAGUUUUGCCGAGUGUAUUUUAAAUGACACUCGGCAAAAAGAAAAUCUUUGCCGAGUGUAUUUCUACAUGGCACUCGGUGAAGGUACACGGUUUGCCGAGUGCCUUCCCCGUGGCACUCGGCAAAGAGGCCCCAUCCGCCAGAUUUUUUUGAGCCAUUUGCCGAGUGUUUUCCAGUGGCACUCGGCGAACCUACAUAGUUUGCCGAGUGCCUUCCUUUAACACUCGGCAAAGAGGCCAUUUUCUAUUAGUUCGACGGCUUUGCCGAGUGCAUUGCCAAAACACUCGGCAAAGGCGUCAUAAAAUUACACCAAUGAUUCUGGCGUCAUAAACUUCUGUGUUAACACUCGGCAAAGUAUCCAUCCACCUACUGAAAAAACAGAAAUGUUACGUAUAAAGGACCACUCUCAAAAAACAACCACAGAAGCACAGGCAUAUAAAUUACACCACAGGCAUAUAAAUUGCACCACAAGCAUCACAAGCACACAAAUAACAUUCACAAGUUCUCGUCGAAACAAGUAAUUCACAAGUUUUGCAUCACAAACACCUCUAGUUCACAAGUUACUGAGGAGGAUGAGGAGGCUGAGGAGGAUGUGCAGGUGGCCACUGCCCCCAAGAAGAUUCUGCAUUGGACGCCGCCGAUUGAUUCUGCACAAAGUUAUAGAGAUUGCAUUAGUCACUUUUCUAGUGUAAGUCUGUAGUGCCUGUAGUUUCUAGUUUAACUCUAGAUUGAUUGUAAGGUUGAGAGUGACUCACAGGAGUAGCUGCAGGAGGUGGUGGAGGUGGCGGGAAUAGGUUCGGUGGUAUAGGUGGUGGAGUCUGACCUAAACUGUGAAAGACACUCUGCAUGUAUUGGAACAUCUGCUCCAUCCUCUGCCUUUCUAGCUGCCGAUCCGCCUCGAUCCUCGCCUCUAGUUCCUCCCGACACUUCCGUUCUACCUCCACCUGGGCCUACAAUAUUUCAUCCCAAUGUCUUAUUGCCAAGCAAAAGAUAUGUACAAAAUGAAUGAAAAAUUAAAGAAACAGGAAUAACCUGCAGAGCCUGCAUCUGUAACUGUGCAGCGGUAGGCUGUGCUCGUAUCGCGGGGCUCGAGUCCGUGCUCCUUGCUCGGAUCUGGGAGAGGGUGGGAGUACUGGCAGUGUCGAUCACGCUAUCUCCAAUCCAAUACCUGCCAUGCUUCUUCCCUCCUCCCACCCUCAUCACAAUUUCAGCAUCAAUAUCCUGAGAGCUCGGAUCGAACUCUGGCCCAUGAACCUCCCUCGCCAUUACUGUGUACUCAGUGACGCGGCUGUGGAUGCUGGGAUGGCUGUAUGCCUCGAGUGGGUCCUCCGGGUUGAAGUCGAUGUCUGCCGUGGCCUUGCCCUUUUUGGACAUAACCCAUGCCUUGAACCGGGAGCACUCUUGACCUUCAUGUGAUGACGUCUGCGGCAAAAAUACAAAAGGAUUACAAAAUAUGCAGUAUUAUGUGUAUUAUGUGUGAGAAUAAAGAAAUAAAUUCACGUACCCAUUUUUCCUUGUAUUCAUCAAGGCUCAGGCUGCCUUGAUGGUGUGGUGCAUAUGGCAUCUGCAGACGCCGCUCCUGGCAAGCAACGUGGUUCUCCAACCACCCGGGCUGCAACCACACGUCCACCAUUUGUUCCCAGCACCGAGUAAAAGAUCGGCACCACCACGGAGGCACCUACAUCAUCAAGUGUGUGACAUAUAACAAAAGAAGUGAAGCGUAAUUAAUCUCAGAAAUAGUAAAUAUUAACUUUCUGUACGUACCAUCAUGAAUUCUUCCUUGGUUAGGUUCAUUGUCCUGGCCUCUUCUUUUUUGACCCUCAUCCUUCUGUAUUCAGCAUAGAAGUCGAUGAUGGCCUGAACCCGCGCCUCGUAGUGCAUGUCCUUAACGAGCUUCUUGGCGGCUUGUUCAAUGACGGAGCCGCCCUAGCCUCGAAUCCCUCCUGGCAUCUAUAAAAGUCCUGCGUAUAGACACAUUGCAAACAAUUAUUUUUUCAAGAACGUCUAGCGAAGCUGGUGUAUUAAGCAAUCUAGUGCUUUGAAUACUUACCCACAGCUCGGCCUUCACCCGCUCGCCUUGUUCGCAAAUUGCCUGUGGUCACGAUCACCGACGUCGGCGGCGGCGACGUAGUGGUCCCACGUGUAGGCCGGCUCCUCCUGUCCGGCGAAGACCACUAGACCGGGGAAGUGUAGCCUACACAAAAGACCAAUGAUGCCGUUGACCUUGCGGUUGUGGGAACCCCCACUGAGCUUAGUCCAACUCCUGCACAAGUGAUUAAUAUACAUUAUUAGUUUCUAUUGUAAAUUUCAACAUAUUAAAAGUACUGAGAAUAUGUAAAGGAACUUACUUUACCCCAGUGGGUUGAAUUAGUGGGCGUAAAUGAAGAGGGAUCGGUCGCCUCGGGAGGGACGAGGGACCUCGCAACCAGAUCUUGGACUACGAAUCCCCUGCCUCCUCCCCUUCCUCCCUCUCCUGCUCCUGCUCCUGCUCCAGCUCCUGCUCCUGCUCCUGCUCCUGCUGUACCUCCGCCUCAUCACUAGAGGCAUGCGCGGAAGGUACNNNNNNNNNNNNNNNNNNNNNNNNNNNNNNNNNNNNNNNNNNNNNNNNNNNNNNNNNNNNNNNNNNNNNNNNNNNNNNNNNNNNNNNNNNNNNNNNNNNNNNNNNNNNNNNNNNNNNNNNNNNNNNNNNNNNNNNNNNNNNNNNNNNNNNNNNNNNNNNNNNNNNNNNNNNNNNNNNNNNNNNNNNNNNNNNNNNNNNNNNNNNNNNNNNNNNNNNNNNNNNNNNNNNNNNNNNNNNNNNNNNNNNNNNNNNNNNNNNNNNNNNNNNNNNNNNNNNNNNNNNNNNNNNNNNNNNNNNNNNNNNNNNNNNNNNNNNNNNNNNNNNNNNNNNNNNNNNNNNNNNNNNNNNNNNNNNNNNNNNNNNNNNNUAAAUAAAUGUUUACAGCCCCAUACAUGUCUUAGAAAUAUCGUCAUGAUCGGAUUAGCUGGAUCAUAAGUCUCAUCAUCACUGUCACGCGUGUCAAUAAAAUCAUUCCCGUGCUCCGAAAGGUGGAGUGUCAUCAUCAAUCUCCUGUCCUAACUGUAACCGCUGAAGUAAUUCUAACUCCUUCAUAUUAUGAACCUCCUCUCCAGCGUCAUCGUCAGCAACCAUUUCAUUGUCCACUUCCAUUCCGAAAGCGUCGGUUAAAUCAAUCUCAAAAUUCCCUUCGAGCCCAUCUUCUUGAAAAAAAUCUCCAUCAUAUGUGUUGGGGUCAAUGUUAUAAUCUUCAUUGUUUGGUACAGGUAAUUUACCGUGCGGCGAUACCUUGUACACAACAUCCCAACCUUUAAGACGGUCGUCGGAUUGGCACGGGUACGACAAAUAAUAAACUUGCGUGGCCUGUUGAGCCACAAUGUAUACAUCGUCUCCUUCUAAGACGGAUGAUUGGCGAAUUUCGACUAACCCAAGAUUAGGUGCCCGUCUCAUGACUGAUGGAUCAAACCAAUGGCAUUUGAAUAUGACUGGAUUAAGAACUUUGCAACCAUGAAAAGUUAGUUCGUAUAUCUCUUCAAUUCUUCCGUAGUACUCUACACCAUCAAAGCAUGGCGUAAAAACUCUGGUAUUUGUCGUUCUUCGAUUAGGCCGACUAUGCUCAUGGCUUGUUGUGUGAAAGCGAUAUCCAUUUACAUCAUAAUCGGUAAAAGAUUUGACCCUGUAGGCACAGCCAUCGGCAACCUGUCUCAACUCGGCAUUCAUAGACGAAUCGGUUUGGGCCUGCAAGUUGAAGUAGGGUGGUUCGUUAUAUUAAUCGCAUGUACGGUCAACUUCUAAUCAAGCUAAGUACGAGCUAAAAUGGACUGUACCUUAUGUUUGAACCAAGAAAUGAAAUCGGGCAUUCCAAUUCCCGCACCCUCUUUGAGAAGAGUCUCGGCUUCGUGCGGGGUAGGUUCCCUUGAAUUACACCAGAAGUUACGAUGGAAUUCCCUGUACCAACGAGAAACAUGAGAGUUGGAUGAAGAAUACUGACAAAUUGAGAAAAAACUAGUUUGUUCAGAACUUACAGUAUGUACGGCUCCACCUCGGAUAGGUUGGUCAAUACAUACAGCAUGAUAGUGCGCCACUCUUUAUGUUUCAAUUUUUUCUGUGUCGCACCACUUGCACUUCCAAGUUGUCCUCGGAAAAGGCUAAGGCUCGAUUCAACUUUGCUGUCAUUGUAACGAGGUGGUGGAUUAUGCACGCUAGGAAGGUUGUCAGCAUAGUAUUUUGUUGUGAAGUUUGACACCUCCUCCAGAAUGUAUGCCUCUGCAAUGGAGGCUUCAAUUUUGCAUUUUUUUUUUACAUUUAGUUCGAAGAACCUUUUGACAUCUCUCAAUUGAAUAGCACCAACGGCCCUGCACAAGCCCCCCCAUUCGUGCUUCAUACGGGAGGUGUAAAAUCAUAUGCUGCAUCGGAUUGAAGAAGCCAGGAGGAAAGAUCUUCUCCAACUUACAGAGCAACACAGGCGCCAUUCUUUCCAUUUUGGCAACCACGGUCCGAAAUAACUCCUUAGCACAAAGCUGGCGGAAGAAAUUACUCAACUCCGCUAGCACCUGCCACACAUGCUCAGGGACAUAGCCUCGAACCAUCACCGGAAGUAGGCGCUCAAUCCAUAUGUGAUAAUCAUAACUUUUGAGCCCGUUGAUUCGCAUAGUAGCUAAGUUCACUUCCCUCUUCAGAUUCGCUGCAUACCCAUCAGGGAACAUUAACGUUUGGAACCAUUCUAAUACCUCCCUCCUUUGGGCCCUCGUCAGGAUGAAAUCAGCCUUAGGCUUUCUCCACGACUUGCCGGCUCUGGGAGGCGCCAUGUCUAGCUUUGGUCUGUUGCAUAACAUUGCUUGAUCCACUCUAGCCUUAACGUUAUCCUUUGUCUUGUCAGGAAUGUCCAUAAUUGUACCAAAAAUUGCCUCGGUAAUGUUCUUUUCAGUGUGCAUAACAUCAAUGUUAUGUGGGAGAAGAAGAUCAUCAAAAUAGGGGAGGUUCCACAAGCACGAUCUCUGAGUCCAAGCAUGUUGCUCGCCAUAUCCCACAAAACCACCAUCAUGAUUGUUGACCUCAAGAGCGUCUAACUGAGCACGAACCGCGGCUAAGGUCAGCAUCUGCGGUGGAGGGUUGUUAACUACGACAUCUUUCGUAAAAUUUCUAAUAUCUCGUCUGAAAGGAUGGUCAGGAGGAAGGAAUUGUCGAUGUUUGUCGAAUGAAGAAUAUUUGCCACCCUUCGUCAACCAAAUGAAUUUCAAAGAAGCCUUGCAUACUGGGCAUGGGAACUUCCCGUGAACACACCAGCCACAAAAAAUACCAUAUGCUGGCAAGUCAUGCAGGGAGUCGUGGUACCAAACAUGCAUCUUGAAGUUUGUCCUUGUACCACGGUCGUAUGUCCAUACCCCUUCAUCCCAUGCACGGACCAAAUCAUCAACCAGAGGCUCCAUGUACACACUCAUAUUAUUUCCUGGAUGUUCUGGAAUUAUCAACGAUAAAAAUAUGUUAUGUCGCUGAAAGAGAACACCAGGGGGGAGAUUGAGGGGGAUAACGAACAUAGGCCAACAGGUGUACGGGACGGCAGCCAUUCCAUAAGGAUUGAACCCAUCUGUUGCGAGCGCAACACGUACAUUACGAGCCUCUCGAGCUUUCUCAUGAUAAAUCGCAUCAAACUUUGUCCAGGCUUCGCCAUCGGAUGGGUGUACCAGCUUCUCAGCAUUGUAUCGACGUCCGGUUUUGUGCCAUGUCAUUUGUUUCGCGGAUUCUUCACACAUGUAAAGCCGUUGGAUCCUCGGUAUGAAGGGAAGGUACCGAAGGAUCUUCACAGGAAUUGCAAGCUGCUUCUUCUGACCGUCACCAGAGUCUACCUCCAGGAACCUAGACGAUUCGCACUUUACACAGUACUUUGCUUCCGCAUAUUCCUUUCUAAAUAAGAUGCAUCCCUUCGGACAAGCAUGUAUCUGCUCGUACGGCAUCUUAAGUGCACGAAGAAGUUUUUGUGCCUCAUACAUAGACUUUGGCAAGAUGUGACCCUCCGGGAGCAGGCUCCCAAAAACUGUCAACAUAAUAUCGAAGGCGUUUCGACUCAAGCUAAACUGGGACUUCACAGCCAUUAGACGUGCAAUGGCAUCCAGUUGAGAGACCUUGGUAUGCCCGUGAAGGGGUUGCUGUGCCGCACACAACAUGUCGUAAUACGCCUUUGCGGGAGCCUCGGGCUCCUCCUCCCUACGAGCUUCAUGAUAGUCAUCUAACAUGUCUCCCACCCCGACGUCAUCAUCAUAUUGCUCGAUACGUUGUCUGAUGACCUCGUCCCUCCCACGAUCGACUUCACCAUGGUAGAUCCAUAUGGUAUAGUCUGACGUAAAUCCGUGCCUAACAAGAUGUCUACCCAUUUCUAACUUGGUUUGCCGACGCAUGUUUGCACAUUUGCUACACGGACACCAAGUAUCUCUUCCUCCUUUGAUCCUUGCAAAUGCCUGUUCCAAGAAAGCAUCGGUCUUGUUUAUCCAUUCAUCGGUCAACGAAUUCUGACAAGAUCGGCCCGUGUACAUCCACUGACGAUCCUCCAUCCUCUAGCAUAUCAGCGAGUAAUAUAAAAACUCACGUUGCAUCUACACGUUCCUAUACUGUCUAUUAGGUGAAGAUAGGUCCUAAUCCCACCCGAGGAUGUGGGGAGUAAUGUUACGUAUUUCUUUUGUGACCUCAUGAUAAAAGGUUUGAAGUGAAUGUGUAGCCUGNNNNNNNNNNNNNNNNNNNNNNNNNNNNNNNNNNNNNNNNNNNNNNNNNNNNNNNNNNNNNNNNNNNNNNNNNNNNNNNNNNNNNNNNNNNNNNNNNNNNACGCUGCCGGACUUAAGGUAUAAACUGCACUCGCGGAGUGUUUUCUCUAGACACUCGGCAAAGUGUACAUGAAAUGACGUAUUUUACUGAACUUUUUCUAAUAUACUUGGGCAAAAUCGUGUCAACAUCACUCAACAAUGGUUAAAUUAUUUUUCUACUGAUAAUGUUCUAUUAUUUCAUGCAGUUAUAGUGCAAAUUGCAUUUAUAUCUACUAAAAAUCUGUAAUUGCAUUUAAUCAAUAAAAAAUAGUAAACACAUCCGAAAAAUUUCCAAAUUUUGACACGAACCAAUCUGUGUUGUAUGUUGCCUAUACAAAAAGAUUUGAAGCCAAACCUUAACUCAAGUGUCACUUGGACUACAAAUCUUAUUGUGUCCUCUCUAACUUCUAUGAAUCCUUCCAGGAGAUGAGUCGGCUUCUAAGCAUCAUAUGCCAGAAAUUGGGUGAAACCUUCUCAAUUUUUUACCACAGCCUCCACACAUAAUAUCAUGAUAUCUUGACAAAUCUUGUGAUUUUCAUAUUUCGUUUGCUUUUUUUAGAAUUUAACAACCAUUCAACCACACGUUCGUGGUCGUGUUUUUCAAAAACAAUGUUCAAAAUUUCUUUUCAUUUCCUGGUUGAGACCUCAAUCCGGACUCCAUAAUAUGGAUAUAAUUUUUCCACUGAUUAUAAUCCAUCAUUUCAUGUACCUGCAGUUAAAAUCUGACAUGAAUAAAAAAAUUCCUAUUAAUGCAAUCAUUUCAUUAAAAAUAGCAAACAGACCACAAAAUAUACCAACUUUUAUUAUGGAUUACAAAAUCUCCUACGUGGGGAGUAGAAAAAGUGUGGAGGCUAGGGAACGAAAAAAAAAAUUUGUUCGCCGAGUGCAAAACGAAACACUCGGCGAAGUCUUGUGUUUGCCGAGUGUCCAGGGUGAGGCACUCGGCGAAGUAAUAUGUUUGCCGAGUGUCUUGGAGUGGCACUCAGCGACCUUCUUGAUUUGCCGAGUGUGGGCGGGUGGCACUCGGCGAACGGCCUCUUUGCCGAGUGUCGGCGUCCAACACUCGGCAAAGGACUAACGGCCGGCCCAGUCCGGUGACGGACAGUGCACGUGCGAUGCACGCGCCGUUUAUUUACCGAGUGUCGGACCUUUGCCGAGUGUCUAUGAGCGGUUUGCCGAGUGUCGUAUUUAUGGCACUCGGCAAACGACCUUAUUGCCGAGUGCAAUAUGUUUGCCGAGUGCCCCGUUGAAUACACUCGGCAAAUAGGCUGUUUGUCGAGUGCCCGAAAGAAAGCACUCGGCAAAAUUUUUACACUCGGCGAAUUUACUGUUUCCGGCAGUGGCUCUCUCCUUUUGGGGUUCGCAACUUUCUUGCUAUUUUUUUUCUACAUGCUUUUCUCAUUUGUCAUUUCAAGUAGGUUUGAUAUCUUAUUUUGCUCACAUAAAACCUCGCACGUUUGUUCCUUUUUCUUUCUCCGUCCACUGGUUGUUUCUUCCUUGAUGGAUUACUGCUGGAAAAGAAAAGAGAAUGUGUUACCUGAAUCGAGUAAGAACUCUGCCUAAUAGUUUUUUUAGAAAGAAGUGAUUCUCUGCUGAUUCUGUGAAGUGAUUCUCCAUCCUGAUUUUAAGAGUUUAUGAUAGAGAAUCACUUUCAGCCACAGAAUCACUUCUCUCAGGAAAUCGGCUCCUAUAGAGAAUGAGAAUCAGAUGAAAUUCUACCAAACAUGCUCCUAAUAUUGUUUAAUUAGCUUCCUUUGUCUUUUUUGACUGUUUGCUCUCCUUGAUGCAGCUCUGUAUUUUAAUCAUUGGAUGCAUUCCGACGGAAUGUUCCGUGUUAACUUAUUUUCCAUAGCACUUAUGCUUUCUUGGCAGAAAUAGAAAUAGCAUAAAUUGAGAACAGAACAAUUAAGUACCUGUCUUUAUCUAGGUGUAGUUUCACGUGAUGCAUGUUGGGGGAUCUGGAUCAGAGAUAUCAUCUGUCAUCCUCGCACGCCACCUUCGUCAAGUCGCCAGCAAAGGUAAGCAGUGUUCGCUUAAACAUGUUUGCAGUUAACGGCGAUUCAACGGAGCAAGGGUAGGCGCGAAGGUCCAGGCACCUUCGCUGUGGAGGACCAAGAAUGAAGGUGCGGAAACUCAGGCACCUUCACGUGGAAGGUGCCAAGGUCUUGGGAACUUCUUCAUCAGAGAACACGGGAGUCAGUCUAAGGGGUGUUUGGAUACGAGGUGUUAAACUUUAACAGUGUCACAUCGGAUGUUCGGAUGCUAAUUAGGAGAACUAAACAUGAGCUAAUUAUAAAACUAAUUGCAGAACCCUGUGCUAAUUCGCGAGACAAAUCUAUUAAGCCUAAUUAAUCCAUCAUUAGCAAUUGGUUACUGUAGCACCACAUGGUCAAAUCAUGGACUAAUUAGGCUUAAUAGAUUCGUCUCGUGAAUUACACUCCAUCUGUGUAAUUAGUUUUGUAAUUAGCCUAUGUUUAAUACUCCUAAUUAGCAUCCAAACAUCCGAUGUGACAGGUGUUAAACUUUAACACAUGGUUGCCAAACAUGCCCAUCAAGCGAAGGUGAAGGGGAAGGAGGUCAUGCUAUAAGCGUGACACUGGCAGCGUGGAUGGCGUGACCCGUUUAGGGUAUACAAAUUGGGUUAGGACUCUUUCUUUACCAAAAUGUACAGCAUAUUCAUAGAAUGUAGUGGUUAAAUGAUGGUAAAUUCGGUAUGUAAAAGUCGGUUGGUCUCCAUAUAAAAGGGGAGGCACCCCUGCUGUAUAAGGAUUCACAAUUUUGGAGAAAUACAAGUCCUAAGAAAGUUUUAUUUCCCAUUCGUGUGUACUUUCCUUAAGUGUUCGGUGAAGAACUUCUGAACCGUAAUAUGAUUAUUGUUGGAUUCAUGGGAGGACCCAUGGAUGUACCGCAGGCUCGCAACCUAGUUACUAUACCUUGCUUUGCUUUCGCAGCAGAUCUUUUCCAUCUUUGAUGUAUCAUCUUGGGUGCUGUGCGAUUGAUGUUGCAUACUGUUCUAAGCCAUAUUGCAGUGCGUGAUGAAUUCUAGGCAAGGCACUUAAAAUUCUGAAUUAUAAAAAAAAUGAGAAGAAUGAAAUCAUGCUUAAAUAAAUAUAUGGAAUUGCAAUGCACUUACUUUUUCUUCUUCAUCAGUGUAAAACUCUCUUGGCACGUGGGCUUACGAUGACCAAACAGAUCAAACACUGCAAUCUGUAUUAAUUUAGACUAAAUCAACGGCAGAAUUCAUUUUGAAGCAAGAUGGUCCUGCCUAGGAAUUAGCAUGCGUACCUAUGUUAAUUAGCUGGGCAGCUUGCAGCACAUCAAGAUGCUCUUCGUCUUGGUGUUGGUCCUUGACGGCGGAGUGGACGUCAUGACAACUGAAGCUGUUAAUCACAAAAAUCCUUUUGAAGCAAAGAGGCUAGCUAGCAAGGUCAUCGUGCUUACCUUUGCUGGGCAGCCAACAGCAGUUCGAAUUGGUUCUUCGUCUUCGUGUAUGUCCUUGGCGGCGGCCGAGUGGACAUCGUGAGAGUGGAGGAUACAUAUAUCCUCACAUUUGUUUGGAUGGUUUGUUGCCUUGUUGGUUAAAUUUAGAUGACGUGCUCGUUUAGAUUACGUAGGGACUGAAUAGAUCGAUACGUUUCCUCCUAUAUCCACCGAAGAGAGGGGAAGGAGAGGAGAUCAUCGAGGAAGGUGUUGCUUUAGGCGUGAGUCUGUUUGGAUAUGCAAGGAAGUACCGCGUGGGUGCGGAUCUGUACUUGAGGUGGGAAGCUAAUCAAGGGUUUUCUAAGUUCACAUGAGAGGAGGAUUGAGGGCUAGAUGUUUUGCUUUUUUGAAUUUCUACAAAUUCUUUAUUUUUCUAGAGUGUCUAAUUAGGAUCCUAGAUGGCUUCACGUGGAUACUUCAAAAUGAAUCUCCAAUUAGUAAUAGUAAGAUCAUGGUAAUAGUAAGAUCAUGGGUAACGAAGAUUGUCGUAAUCUUGACCAUAGACAUAGCGUAAUCAUUUUAAAAACAUGCAACAGGUGAGCCAAUCCUGGAAAUCGUAUUAAACAAUAUCCAUAAAUUGCCUACUCAAUGCAUGAUUGGUAUGAAGGAACUGGUCUUAGCAUGAACUUUGGACUAGAUGUGCGGUACCCUACAUCAGAGUUACUCCUCUAGGCUAUGCAACAGGUAGCUUCCAUGAACUUGGAUGGCAUUAUCCAAAAGUACUAAAUAGGUGCAGAAGCUCCGAAGGAUUUGAAAGGGGCAGAACUCCACACCUGGAACCAAGCCUAUAAUUGAGAAAAAGACUUUGGCAAUCAAGUAUGUUCUCAAGUCAAUCAAGCAAACCGGUAUUGGCAGUUGGUACAUGAUAAGGUUUGGAGUCAAUUUGAAAAGGAACAAUUGUGUAUAUGCCCUCACUUUUACCUCCAACUACACAUUUGUCCUUUUUUUUCAAUUUUGCACAAUUACCCCUAAUUGACGAAGUCAAUGGCUCGUUACCCCUGAUCUUGCCUAGGUUGAUGGCAAAACCAAGGUCGACGAUGCGCUGAGUUGGUCAAAGCAGGGACAAUGGUGCAAAGUUGGAAAAAAAAAAACAGAGAGAAAAAGCAUGCAAUUAGCGAUUAAAGUUGGUGCAUACUUAACGGUUCAUGUUAUAUUCUAACUAGUAGGUAGAUAAUAAUCAUAAUAAUCCUGUCAUCCAUACUCCCCCAAAUGUUUGAUCUUUCGCUUUCUAAAUUCCAAAUUGGUCCUUAAAAUGUUUCAGUGUACAAGAUGUCCCAGCAUAAAUUAAAAGGUAUAGAGAAAAAAAAAUGUUUCACAUGUAAUAGUUGGAGCAGGGCAGCAUUAGGACAACAGCAGGGACAACACAGGAUUGAAAAUUUGGUUGCUCCUUUUACAAAUUGGCAGUGUCCCGGUUUAAGAGAACAAAAUUCCAACAGUAUAAAGAAUUGUACAAGGCGUACAAAAUAGUGGUUUGAAAAAAGGCAUGAACAAAAACAAGGUGCAUGCUACUUUUAGCCUGUCUGGAAAGAAAAAAGGGCAUGCAAAAAAGUAGCAGGAUUUUCGACUCCACCACUACUGGAAAGAAAAAAGGGCGACAACGGCGGGCAUGUCCGGCCUGGCGUCCGGUGAAUCUUGCACGCAAAGAAGCCCAAUUUUGACGCACCUCUCCAGCUCAGAGACGAAUCAGCAGGUCCGGGUAGAGCAACCGCUUCAUCGAGAAGGCCCGUCGCCCUGCCCUGCUCCCACAGCUCCCAUGCCUGCACAACAAAAUGGUUAGUAGCUUAGUAAUUUGCAUCAAGGGCAGGAUUUGACUCCAAUAAUACAAUCGCAAGGAUGUCCAGGUGCACCUACACGUGGAAUCAACCCCUGUGAUUUGCCGUUCCUUUGCCCGCUAAGAGUCUCAAGCAGGGUAGUAACUCCGAAGCUUUGACUCAGCUAGCAUAAGACGGAGUAGCAGCAUUUGACGAAAAUAGCGAGAGUCCACCGAGCACAUGUACGGUAGGUGGUUUUCGCAACAUUUCAUCAAUCAAACUAAAUUGGCAGUAAGAACUUUUUUCACUUGUAUUUUUCUUAGCAGUAUGCUUAACACGGCAUUAUCAGACAUAACACAUACCAGCUUUUGGGAUACAAAAAACUGUGACACAAAAAAAUGCUGAAUGGAGAUGGAAGCAAUAUCGAUUUCCUAGUUGCAGACUCUGGAGAGGAGAUCUUCCUCAUCUCAUGUACAUGUGGCAGCGGCCACGUUCUGCAGCGCAGCGCGCGGCAGCAGGUUGAUGUCUGAGUUCCGGGUGGUGAGCAUGGCGACAACGGCGGACAUGUCCGGCCUGUUUUCCGGUGCCUCCUGCACGCAGAGAAGCCCAAUCUUGACGUACCUCUCGAGCUCGGACCUCAUCUCGGAAUCAGGCGUAGACAGAGGCAGGGGAACCGUUGGAUCGAGAAGAGCCAUCGCCCUGUCCUGCUGCCAGAACUCCCGUGCCUGCACCAGGAUUUAUAUCGUAGCUUACUUACAGUUGCACGAGGCCUUUGGUUACUCAUUACAGUGCUCAAAUGACCGAAAUCUCCGGAUGAACUUACAUUUGAAAUUGCUCCCUUUGUGGGGCUGUUCCUUUGCCCGCUAAGGGUUUCUAGCAGGAUGACACCAAAGCUGUACACGUCGCACUUCAGUGUCAUCUCGCCUUGCAAAUACUCCGGAGAUGCAUAUCCCCUUGGCAGUUGGUGUUUAGGUAGUCAGUCAUAUCAUUAAAAAUAGAUCAAGCCCAUUCAAGCAGUGGACAGAAAGAGAAAUCAUGUACUCCUGCAUAUGAUUAUUCUUUAACGAAAAAUGAAUGCACCUCUCAAGGAACCAGCAAUUAGUUGGAGAGUUCACCCCAGAAUAAUUUAAAAGAUCACAAUUUAAGCUAGUCGGAGAAUGUGGAGUAACUUACGGUGAAACAACAAUGGUCGGAUCAGACUGAUCUGGCUGAUCUUUGAUGAACAACUUGGCAGUGUUGAAGUCGGCUAUCUUUGGUUUCCAGUUAUCAUCUAGUAGUAUGUUGGAAGGCUUGAGAUCUCUGUGGACGACGCUUUCCUCCGAUCCCUGGUGAAGAUAUGCGACGCCGUGCGCGACGCCAUGGAUUAUAUCCAACCUCUGCCUCCAGUUCAGCCUAGCGCGGUCGCUAGGUUCGCCUGUCAUCAGUUCAAGAUAGAAGCUUAUGAAUAACGCGUCGCACAUGAGGAUGCAAAAGGUAGCUGAUUUACCCAGCAGUUCGUGACAGUAUAUGGAUGUGCAGAGAUAGGUACCAAAUAUGUAGAGGUCUAAGCUCUUGUUGGGCAUGAAGGCAUAAAUCAGUAUGCGCUCGCCGCCUUCGUUGCAGUAGGCAAGGAGACGGAGGAGGUUGCCAUGCCUGACAUUGGCCAUCACAUCCACCUCCCUUGCGAAAUCGCUCCUGCCUUUGUCGGUGAGAGCUGACUGCUUCAACCUCUUCACCGCAACCGUUCUCCCGUCAGGUAAUUCGCCCUAGUGGUAGGGGUUAUCAGCAUUGCAAUGGGGACAAACAAUAAUAGCCUACGCUACGUUAACACAACGUGGAUUUCGAGUAAAUAAAGUCACAUUUGAAGCACCUUGUACACUACAGCGAAUCCACCUUCACCAAUAACAUGGCUUUGGCAGAAAUCCCCCGUCGCCAUCUUUACAGUAGGCAGAUCGAAAGAGAGAUCGCCCAUAGUUGGGCUCCAAGGACCAUCUGCAGUACGAGCAGACUCAGUGUUGUUCCACUUCCAUCCAUAACCAUGGUGCAAACUUAAAGAUUAUUGUAAACUACAAGGUUCAAAGAGACACUUAUAUAUUGUUAAUAAUGGUUCAACGUGCAUAGCAUGUACUAAUGCAUGGUCCAAAUUCCAAAUGAAGUGUGCUCGAGGUAAUAUUUGGUUUUUGCACGAUCCGGCCAAAGGAUAAGCGAUGUGUUUUUGUUCUACAAAACGGAAAUUAUUAUGAGAAACACUAUCUAUCUGUCGACAUAUUUCUUGGCAAAAAUAUGUCAGAUUUGCAAUGUUCCAGCAUAAGAAAAAAUAUUUCAUCAGUGGAAUGAAAUAUUACGGAUAAAGAAACAAAAUGCUCUUAAAAAUCAGGGGUGACAUGUUUUCUAGAAAAAAAAAAUCUAUUGUGUUUGCAAUAUUGUUCCUGGUCUAUGGAAAAAUAUUCCAACUAUUAAAUAAAAUAUUAUAAGUAAAUAAAUAAAACUAUUCCGAUUUUAUUUCACUUUUUCUAUCAUAGAGGGAUGAAUCCAAACUAUUUUAUUUUAAUUCAAUGGUCGAUAGCCCCAAUAACUAUUUCACUUUUUCUUCAACAACGUCUUCACCCCGGUGUGCUUCACCAUCCUCGCCAUGGCCUCUGAUCUAGAGCUUUGGAAGCCCUGACUACGCCAGUCAAGAGUGGCCAAUUCCCUACGGCUGUGGAGCAUAUUUUUUCGUAACAGUGUGAACUAGUCUCCCCUUCUCUCUUUGCGCCCUACGCUCUCAAAUCCUGUAUUCAACAAUCUUGCAUAUAGAUAUAAAUGUUCAGGCCAACUUCUUGCCUGCCGUAGCCUCCUUAAAAAAAACUAUUCCCUGUCCCUGCACGAUCUAAUGGUACACGUACAUACCUGAGGCGUUGCGUUUGGUUUUGUUUCUCCACCAAAUCAGGAGGAACAGGGCAAGUGCAGCACCAACGAACGCUACCGGUGCAACAACAGCCGCGAGAGGGAAAUCCUUGUCUGUAAUGUCAAAAUUAAUUGGUAAAAGAUAAAGAAGGAAUGCAAUCAAGCACGGUCGUCUUUUCUGAAGAAAAUAAAAUUGGAUUUGCAUCAGGUAGUCCCUAUCGUGUAUCAAACAAAACAAGCUUAUCUUGGUUGACGCUCAUCCUUAUUAAAGCUAAAUUUUGCUUGUAGGAAAGCUGAAAUAAGCACCAUACCUAGUUCAGACUUGGCCAGCCUCAGGUACAGAUCCUGCCCAUGGUUGACAUAACGAAGAUCGACGAUGUUAUCCGUCCACAUGACGCAGCCGCUAGGAACACCGCCUCCCCGGAUAUCCGCGGCGGCGUAGGCCAAGCACGAACAGUUUGCGCGGCACCUACUCCUGCAUUCCUUCAUCGACAUGCCCAUGUCCACCGAUGCGUUGUGCGUGUCGGGAAGCUUCACCCCUUUCACCAGCACGAAGCCAUCCGUCGUGACCCCAUUGCUACUACACUGCAGCUUCACGUUCCGCCGGCAGCCCGAGGUAUCCCUACUCCACGCCGAAGGCGACGCAGGGCUAAAGCCCCUGAGGCAGUCGCAGAAGGACAACACCGAACUGACGUCGCACAGACCAAACGAUCCGCACUUGCCGUAGUCGUCGCAGGGAUCCCUUGGGCCUUGAAAGAUGGGCUGAUGCGUCCAUCCCCGGCUGCUCUUAUCCCACACGACGCGAUUGACCUUGCCGUCGUCCGUCACCACCAAACGAGUCAAGGCGGCGCCGGGUUUAGAAGUGUAACUGUACGAGAUCUCUCCCGGACUAAUCGUCACACCCAACGUGAGCAGGUCAGUGUACGUGUUCCCCAAAGCCUCCGUGACGCCGCUGAACGACCGGCCGUUCCAGGGGCCACAGCGGUAGAUCGUGGCGUUGCCGUCCAACAAGACGAAGUCCGGUAGGCCGCUGGUGUCCAGCACCUGGCGGUAGGGCCCCGGUGACGGGUCGUCGGCCGAUCUCCAAGACGUGAGGUGCCACUCGGCUCCGCUCCACAGGUUCUUGCCCACCUUCAUGCCGGACAGCAUGGUGUUCGACGGGUGAUCGAACGAUUGCCAAAGCAGGACGUUGCCGCUGCCUUGGUCGCGCACGACCAGGUUGCCGGUCUCGAGGAGCUGCGCCUCCACCGAUGAAGAGGAGGCGAUGGUGGAGUUGGACGACCACGCGACCUGGCCGGAGCCGUCUCGCAGGAGAAGGCUCCCCGUGUCGCUGAGCACCAGCGCGCCGGUCUUGUCGGAGAGAGGGCGCUCACUGUUGGCCACCCAGCAGAUGGCAUCACUACUAGACACUGAGAACCAUAUGCCUAGGUAGUACUUCUUGUUGGUUGACGGCCCGAGGAAGAAGAAACCCAUGGUAAAUGUUCCAUUGGCCGAGACGAGCGUCUCGUCGCCGGUGAUGUUGCCAGCCUUGCCGAGCGUGUCAGCAAAACCGGCGGCGAAGGCUAUGGGAGAAAGUAGAACCAGGAGGAGGUUGAGAAGGUGGCUCCAGUUUGCUUCCAUGUCCUCUGCGCGUCGAGAACGUAGACGAGAAAGACAGGUUGUAGCAACUUGCCGUUGCCGAUCAGUUGGGGACUUAAGAUAUAUAAGAAUGUGGACCUCCCCGAGGAGCUCCCUCGUCUGGCGCCAGAUCCGUCGCCGCCUCCAGCGCUUCCUUCGCCGAGGUGAGGAGGAGAGAGGACCUCCCUUCACACUCUCCCUCCUCCUAUUCUUCACGGCCGCGGCCGAGCUCAGGACGCCGGCCGCCGCACCACCGACGCUGCCGGCCGCCCGCGCCCAAUCUCCCUCCGCCUCUCUGUUGUGAAGAAAGGAGAAGUGUUUUUCCCGUUAACCCCCUCCCUUCCCUUCUUUUUCUACCCGAGCUCCCCUCUUUUCAACAUUUGGACUGAGGGUUGAUUACUAAAAAGUCAAGGGACUUUUUUGCAAAAUAACCACGACGGACGAAAAUACAGGCAGAGAUGUUACUUGCUUUAAUAAUAGGUAGAGAUUCUCUUCUAAUAAAAUUUACGGCAAAGCUUUUGCCGUUCCUUUCAAAAAAAAGAAAGCGGCAGUUUUUUUUUUCCGAACGACCUGAUUUCGAGAAUCAACUAACCUCCAUAGUCCAGGUGCUUCGCUGCCUCCCUCUCGCCAAACCAAAAUGGGAUGCAGCUUCCCGCACGAUCUUCCUCUUCCUGCCCGACUCAUUUUGUCUUCACUGGAAGCUGCUGAUCCCAGCGUAGCAUUAAGACAAUUGUUCCUUCUUCAGUAUCCCUCCACCCCCUUCGUUUGUUGUGGGUGGCGUCUCACCGCAAGCACUUAAUGAAUGAGUGAAGAUCUUCCUUCCCCACUUGUGUUAUGAUUGUGGAUACAGAAAAAAUUUCUCAGUCAUCGAAACCGACUUGCUAUUUAAAAUUGUAACUGUCAAUAGCUUUCCAAUAUGAUGUUCAGAAACAUAAAAUUUAUGUGUUUCAUAUCUUUGUAAUUUUACUAGAUAUCAUAACUAUAUCUAGAAAACUAUACAUUAGAAGUUGCACCUUAAUUGAAGACCACGUGAUGAGAACCAACAGCGCCAACGUUUUUUAGGUGGUAAGAUAUACUCUCCGUCUGAAAUUACAAGGCCGUAUUUUGUUUCAGCAAGACAAGGCCUUGACAAAUAAGUACCCUAUUAGUUUCUUAUUUAUAUGAUACAAAAAGUAUAGUCAUAAGAAAGUAUUUUGAAUGCGAAUCUAACGAUAUCAGCUUCGUGGUGUAAAACUGUGGCUAUUAAUUUGCCGUUCCCAAUCAGUUAGGGACUUAAGAAUGUGGAUACAAAAAAUACUCUCCUCGGUCGUCGUAAACUACUCCCUCCAUCCCAAAAAACAUGUCAUCCUAGAAAUUUUAGGACAGAUUAACGAGGAGGUAAAAUAAUCCCGAUUGUCCCUAUUUAUUAACCAUAUUUGGUGCUAAUUGACUGCUGCAUGCCCAUAUGCACAUGCACACAUACCAAAUUGAGUAUAACGACUUAUUUUUUGGGAUAAAUUUUGAAUCGCAAAAUGACAUAUUUUUUGAGAUGGAGGGAGUAAUUGUCAAUCAGUAAGGAUUAUCUCUUUCUCUAUGAUGAUGGAUACAGAAAAAUUUCCUCAGUCAUCGAAGCCGACUUGUUAUUAAUCAAUAGUAUGGUCACAAUACUUGACCAAGAUCCCAUCACUUUUAAAACUUUAACUGUCAAUAGCUUUCCAAUAUGAUGUUCAAAAACAUAAAAUUUAUAUGUGUUUUAUAUCUUUGUAAUUUUACUAGAUAUCAUAACUAUAUCUAGAAAACUACAUUACAAGUUGCACCUUAAAGACCAUAUGAUGAGAACCAACAGCGCUAACCUUUUUUUAGUGGUAAGAUAUACUCUCUCCAACUGAAACUACAAGGUGUUUUUUUAAGGAAAGUUAGCAGGAGCGCUGUCAUAUCAUAUAAGAAGGAGAAGCAGGAGAAGCAGUUCCGGGGUUACAUAGAGUUUAUUACAUAAAUUAUUAUACAAUCUCGUUUGAUAGCAAUAACAGACACAUUAAUCGUAAAAACUAAGAUGCACAUCCCUCCCUGUCGCCUGGACUCUGAUGGCCAUUUCAUCCUUGAUGAACCACAGAACUCGUAAUUGUUGCAUACUUUCUACCUUCAAAAGUUCUUUUAUUUCUUUCCUUCCACAAGUUCCAUGCCAUGUACAUCAUCACUGCUGCCUUUACUCUUCUUUCAUUUUGCGGGAUCCCUGAAGCUCCAUGUUCCACCAUUCUUCUACUGUUCUGUUAGGAUCCAGGACCUGACCAAGCUGCAACCAGGCUCCAGACUUCCCUUGCUUAAGGGCAAUGCAAACAGAGGUGGGCAACAGUUUCAUGAAAUUGAUCACAUAGCACGCAUUGUUCAUUACAUGGCCAGUUCCUCUUCAUUAGCUUAUAUGCAGUGAGUAACAUGGUCUGGACAAGAAGCCAUGCAAAGAACUUGUGCUUUCCUUGUGCGCGCCGGAGUUCCAUCGCUUGGAAAGAACAGAAGGAUCCGUGGAAUUGGGCAUUAUAUGCCAAUUUAGCCGAGUACUCCCCAUUGGCUGUCCAUCUCCAUCUGAUGGUGUCCACUCCUUCUGUCAACGUGACCUGCAUGAUCAAGUCCCACAACUGAACAAACUCGACCAUUUCCUCCACCUCUGUCAUUCUCCAGAGCACUCUCGUCCAGCUGUGGUUCUCCGGAUCCUCAUUCACUGAUCGACGCCCUGAAUAGCUGCCUGUCUACUGCUGCAAUCGGUGGUUGUUGUGUGCCCACCCAUGGCCGUUUUGGAUCGACCCAUUCAUACCACAGCCAUCUAAGCUGCAACGCCCUACUGAAAAUAUGCCCAGGCCGCUAAACUUCUUUGGCCUCUUCGCUCUUGCCCAUUGCACCAAACAGUGACCUCCAUUCACCUCCGUCGCUUCUUUCCACAUAUAAGCGCGUCUGAUUUUAUCAAUUUUCUUGACUGCCCAUUUUUUCAGUGCGAACGCUGUGAGGUGAUAUACCGGUAUCGAGGUCGUUGUUUAUCACUUUCAAACGCCCCGAUCUGUUUAGCAAUCUUCCUUGCCACCCUGGUAGUUUUGCAGUUAUUUUAUCAAUAAACCGUUGGAUCUCCACUCUUCUCAGUUGUCUGACAUGCAAAGGCAAUCCCAAGUAUGUGCAAGGCAAGGAUUUCACCGGGCAUCGGAACCAGUGCAUUACUUCCUCCACAUUGAUCUGCUCACAUCUUAUCGGGUACACCGCACUCUUCCUUGGAUUGACCAUCCUGACACCAUUCCAGACGCUUGUAGGAUAUCCUGAACCACCUUCACUUCCUCCCUUAUCGGAUUUAAGAAAAUUACAGCAGCAUCUGCAAAUAAACUUACUUCUCAGCUUUGCUGCCCUGUGCACCGGUGACAACUCAUGCUGUCUGGUUGCCGGAUCAAGUAGCUUCUGCAGGGGUUCCAUCUCUAGGAUGAACAACAUCGCUACAAGGCGUAUUUUGUUUCAUCAAGAUAAGGCCUUGACCAAUAAGUACUCUAUUAAUUUUUUAUUUAAAUAAUACAAAAAAUAUAGUCAUAAGAAAGUAUUUCAAAACGAAUCUAACAAUAUCAACUUUGUGGCAUAAAAAUUAUGUACUCCCUACAUUUUAUUUUAUUUGUAAGGCGACGCGCAUAUCAAGAUUCAAACUUUAUGAUCUUUGAUAAUAGUUUAACUAUCAAUUUUUUAUUUUUAUACUAUAAACUUUAUGUGGUUGGAUUUGUAACCAAAUAUACUAUACAAUAAUUAUAAAUUUAUAACUAUAAUUAAAUAAUAUAAUAUAAGAUAAAUGAAUGGUUAAAAUAUAAUUUGGAAGACCGUGCCAAGUAACACCAUGUCUUAUAAACAUAAACGGAGGGAGUAGUACUUAUUGGUCAAAAGCUUGUCCUAACUAAACGAAAUGCGUAUUGUAAUUUCAAACGGAAUGGAGUAUCAAUUAUUGUGAUACGGAGUUCUUUUUAGGAAAAUGAGACACGUAAGACCAGUGAAUGGAGUCAGUUUGCUUAGAUUUGUUUUCUCAUUUUGUUAGGACAGCUGGUAGUAAUGAAUAUGAUCAAGUUGCUUUGAGUAUGAUGUCGCCAACAAAGACACAUAGGUUAUCAAGAAAAGAAAAGUCUACAGUAGGCCGGCCACUCCUGACUGUGUUACGACUAUGACGUGUGAAGCUGCGCUGGUGUGUGCGACCAUGCUCCAUGUGCUACGUGUGGUCGUAGUCGUCCACGAGUCGGACGAAUCUACGUGUGUAGCGUCAGAAUGAAGAGCAAGGCACAAGUACCAGCAAUUUUCCCAUUUUGAAAAGGUCUAUUUAGCCUCUAGAUAUUUUUGUCAUGAGAGUCUGGUCUUGUGAUGUCUCGAAGUUCAGUGCCAAACAACUUUGACCCUUGAAUUCGUUCAAGUUAAACCGAACAUUUUUCAGCCCUGAACCCUAAUAAAAAGUGGUGGUUCUAUUCCAACGUGGCGCCAAAUUGGUACUGUUUUGUUAUUUUACAACAAAAAUUAUACAAGGCAUGCUCAUCUAUGAAGGAAACAUAACACUUUACUACUUUGCAGGCCUUGGAAUCAACAUAGGAUCACUACCACAGCCUGAGGUCGAGUUAGAACACUACAAGACUUUUCAUCUUUUCCUACAGUUUUCUAUAAAUGAUCUACAGUAUCAGUAGCCCUUAGUAUUUUUUUUCCCAACAGCCAAUAGUUUCUAAGUAUGCCUGUAGUAUUUGCAAAUUGCCAACAAUAUAAUCCCCAACCCCAUUGCCUACAGUUUUGUACUCCCUCCUCCGUUCCAAAUUAUAAGUCGUUUUGGCUUUUUUAUAUUUAUAGGUUUUUCCUAUGCACGUAGAUAUAUAUUAUGUCUAGAUACAUAGUAGUAAAAGGUACGAACUUAGAAAAUCUAAAACAAUCUAUAAUUCGGAACGGAAGGAGUAAUUUGUAUACUAAGAGAGGCAGGCGGGAGAUUUAUCUCCUUAACCAAACGAUGGGGAUAUUUAUUUCCUUAACCUAAACGAUGGGCUAUUUGUUGGGCCGACCGUUCUUCAACUGGGCCGGAUGUGAAACUAGGCCCGAGGGAUCAAGCAAGAGUCAGCACUGGACCCUACGGCUUUCCAGGCCGGGCGCGGGCCCGCGGCGUUCUGAGUUUCUGACUCGGCACACUACGCAUGUUGCCGCUACGUGGUCUUGGUGUUUGUAUGUCCAUGUUCUGAGUGUGAUCUCCCUCGUCCCUCCUAGUUUUAGACGUGUCCCUCUCCUCCCUGCUUUUUUCAAGUUUUCCUAGGCUCUGAGCGAUUCUGUAACAGGUGACUUCAGUUGAGUAAUAUUCUAGUCAGAUGGGGUCCUCCUAACAGGCUAACCUCAGUUGCCUCAAAAAACAAAAACUCUUCUAAUGUGUCACCAGAGUGAAAAACCAUGCUGGGCAAGUUGACAAAAACUGCAAAUGAAACAAAAAAGAUGACCACCAUCUAUCGAUUUCAAUACUUCAACCACUGAUCUGUCAUAUGUUCUUUAAACGAGCGCACUGAAUGUAAAACAAAACCGGGUAAACUUUGUACAGUCAGACACUGGUUAUGUGGUUUCGCUAUUCCAAAUUGGGGGCUCAUCCCUGGUUUCUACUACUAAAAAAAGCAAACAGGGGCUGCAAAACCAGGCAACAGUUGACUUGCAUUUCCAACAGCCAUUUCUAAAAUGGUAAAAAUGAAAGGGUCAACGCUGUGGUUCUCAAGUUGAGUUAAAAUGCUUUUGACCCAAAGUUUGCUUUAAAGCAUGUACUCUGUUGUAGCCUUUCUUACAUACCCAUGGCUCAAACUCCCAUGCGUGCAAGAGCCAUAUCCCAGACCAUGGAAACAACCUGCAUCCACCUCCUCCUGAGUCUUGUGCUCUCGCUCUUACUACUUUCCCAUAGAGCCUUCACCGCCGGAGAUACGUUCAGCAAGGGCCGCAACAUCACUGACAAUGACACGCUCGUCUCGGCCGAUGGCACAUUCACCUUGGGUUUCUUCUCCCCCGGGGUGUCAACCAAGAGGUACGUCGGCAUCUGGUUCACCGUCUCCCGUGACGCCGUCUGCUGGGUGGCCAACCGUGAGCACCCUAUCGAUGGCAACUCUGGGGCGCUGGUGAUCAGCGACACAGGUAGCCUUGUCGUGCGAGACGGCUCCGGACAGGUUGCCUGGUCGUCCAACUCCACAAGCACCUCCCCCGUGGAGGCCCAGCUCCUAAGCUCCGGCAACCUAGUCGUGCGCAACCGAGGCAGCACCACCGCCACCAUUAUGUGGCAGUCGUUCGACUUCCCGUCGAACGCCAUGCUAUCCGGGAUGAAGAUUGGCAAGGACUUCUGGAACGGAGCCGAGUGGUACCUCACCUCAUGGCGUUCAGCCGAUGACCCGUCUCCAGGGCCCUACCGUCGCGCGCUGGACACCACCGGGCUGCCCGACAAUGUCGUGUGGCAAGGCAACGCCAAGAAGUACCGCGCGGGCCCGUGGAAUGGCCGGUGGUUCAGCGGCAUCCCGGAGGUGCUGACGUACACGAACGUGAUGGAGCACGAGAUGGUUAUCAGCCCACGCGAGAUAACCUACAGCUACAUCAUCGCGAAACCCGGCGGGCCCUUGACUUACAUCGUGCUGCUGGACACCGGCGUGGUCAGGCGCCUGGUGUGGGACUCGGACGCCCGGGCAUGGCAGACCUACUUCCAGGGCCCAAGGGACGUCUGCGAUUCCUACCGCAACUGCGGGGCGUUCGGCCUGUGCAACGCCGGCGCCGCAUCGACGUCGUUCUGCAGCUGCCUCAACGGGUUCAGCCCGGCGUCGCCGGCGGCGUGGAACUCGAGGGACACCUCGGGUGGGUGCCGGCGAAACGUGAAGCUUGACUGCGGCGAUGGGGCGACCACGGACGGUUUCCUGUUGGUGCACGCGGUGAAACUUCCAGACGCGCACAACGUCUCGGUGGACAGGAGCAUCUCGUUGGAGGAGUGCCGCGCCAGGUGCCUCGCCAACUGUUCGUGCUUGGCCUACGCCGCCGCGGACAUCAGGGGUGGCGACGUCCCUAGCGGCUGCGCCAUGUGGACGGAUGAUAUCAUAGAUCUUCCGUACGUCGACCACGGCCAGGACCUGUACCUGAGGUUGGCCGAGUCUGAGAUCCCGCCCCUCGUCGCCACGGGCGUUUCCUACUGCGCCGGUUGUUGCUGCAUCCGUAGCUGCCGUCGUUGUGAUUCUCCUCGUUCUGCUGGUUCUAAUUCUGAUUAGGAGGCGCAGGGGACGAACAAUUUCAGGUAACUUAAUUGCAGCUAUCUCUUCUUUCUUUCUUUUUCAUUUUUGCUCUUCGAUUCAAUUUUUACAAUUACUGCGUGCGCAUUGGAUGUUCCAGGUGCUCAUAGUUCUGCUCCGAGUUUCCCUUCUGUUGAACAUCAUCGUAGUCCUGCUCAGAGUGUCACAUCUAGUUCUGUUCCUGCUUCGGUUCUUGUCCCUUCUCUUGAGCUGCUUAGUUUGAAGGAGGCAACAGGGUAUUUUUCCGAGAGCAAUAUCAUCGGUCGUGGAGGAUUUGGAGUUGUGUAUGAGGUUUGUGUACUACUUCUAUUUUUAUUUUUUAUUAGGUUCUGCUAUUUAUGUGUCAUAAAAAUUCUUGGGAAAAAAACUAUUUCUCGGUAGUGGUAGUUUUUAUUAUAGAUAUCGGGUUUGUUAUCGAUUUUUGGGAUGGCCUGUUUGGUAUUUGACAGGUUUUGUGUUAUUAUGUUGUCUUUCUUUUUUUUUGUUGGAUUCUUUUUUUCUAGUGUUGUGGCUAUUUUUCGAUUGGCUAUACCAUGUAUAUUGUUUAGAAAAAUGAUGACAUGUGAAGUAACACCACCAUAAUAGGUGGGUUGUUGCUAUGCACCCUUGCUUCUUUCUAGUGUAUAGCUUGUCAAAACUUAUUAAUCUUAAUGUGAUUAUGUGUUACUGUUCAAAGUCAGUAUCAUAAUAUCGAGUUGUAAUAUCCCAGGGGCGCUUACCUGAUGGUAGAAAGGUUGCUGUAAAGAGGAUCAUACAAUCUCCUCAAGUUGAUGAAGGUGGUGAGGCUUUCAUGAGAAAGUGGACGUCAUGUCGAAGCUCAAGCAUAACAACCUUGUUCAACUCCUCCAUUACUGCAAGGAUGGGAAUGAGCGGAUACUAGUCUACGAGUACAUGAAGAACAAGAGUUUGGAACUCUACAUAUCUGGUACAUCACAAUACACAUAAGUAUACAAUAUACAUUAACAUGUGUCUUACGGUCAUAAUCUCUGCUAUCUAUGGAACUAACAGGAGAAGAUCCAAAACUUCAUGCUUUGCUGAAUUGGGAGCGUAGGCUGGAAAUAAUUCGAGGGGUUGCAAAAGGUGUUUUCUUAUCUUCAUGGACUAAACGAGGAAGUGAUUCACAGAGAUCUAAAACCGUCCAAUAUUCUUCUGGAUGACAAUUGGAGGCCUAAGAUCGCAGACUUUGGCACUGCAAAAUUCUUUGUUGUUGACCAGACAGAUCCAACACUAGUACAAACAGCGUAUGAUCAAAACCUGAAGUCCCUAGCUACUGUUUCAAUUCAUAGCAGCUAGGCUUUUAUUAUUUUUCCUUUUUGGAAAAAGUUCAAAUUACUCCCCUAAAGUAUAACUAAAGUAUAACCAAAGUCUGAAUAACCCCCUAAAAUAUUUUUUGUUCAGUUUACCCCUUAAACUAUGCCAUUUGGUUCAAUUUACCCCUUAACACAAUUUGUCUCUUUUGUUUCUCUACGCACAAGUGGAAUCUUAAGUUCAAAUUUUGCAAGAAAAUAGCAAACAUCAUAAGACAUGUUAGAAAAAUAUAUCAUAAAUUUUUUAUUAUUAUUUUGAUAGGGUAGGAUAUUUAAUGGCAAAAUUUAUACUAGAGAUACAAAAUUAUAUAAAUAAUAAUGAAAAAUUCAUAAAAUAUUUUUUAAUAUAGAUUAUGAUGUCAACUACCACCAUCCAAAUAUCAAAUUAAAAUUCAACUUGUGUAUGGAGAAAUAAAAAGGACAAAUUGCAAUAUGGGGUAAGUUUAACCAAAUAGCAUAGUUUAGGCGGUAAAUUGAACCAAAACAUAGUUUAGGGGGUUAUUUGAACUUUCCUGAAGGGAGUAAUUUGAACUUUUUCCCUUUUUUACAUAGUAUUUCACAUUACAUGCCGACGCGGAAUUUUAAUAGAUGACCUUUUUCUUAUACCAGUAUAGAUCCUUUAUUGUUAAGGUUUUGAUAUUGAACUGAUUUCUUUUUACCGAAGGGGGUACACGGCUCCAGAAUACAUGAUGGAACGGUAUUUAACGCUCAAGUGCGAUGUGUACAGCUUUGGAGUUAUCAUGCUGGAGAUAGUCAGUGGCCAAAAGAACAGAAACACACCAACGCUCCUUUCUGAUGUGAGCAUACUGCUGCCAGAAAUUAUGCAAAGACCUUUUUCAUUUUUGGGCAAGUAUAUAUGACAGUUGUUUAACCCUUUGGAAUCAACAUAGGAUCACUGAGCUUCUGGAUUCAGCAGUUUCCCAACCGGAGCCUGAGCUCCUGUUCGAACUGGAGAGAUGUUUGCAGAUAGGCCUUCUCUGCGUGCAGCAAUCGCCCAACGACAGGCCUACCAUGUAUGCAGUGAUUACAAUGCUCAACAACAGCAGCUCACAGAUCCGUGCCCCUAAAAGGCCAGUGUUCGACAGCAUAACCGAGCCUUCUCUCCGCAAGAAAGAUGGCUCGACGCAGGAAGAAGCAUCCAGCACGUCGCACGGCAGCUACACGAUCUACCUCUCAUAGCAGGGAAAGGAGCGAAAGUAGCUAUAGGUCAAUAUAUGAUUUGUGAGCCGAAUCCUUUUAUUAAUUCCUUUCGGUUUGGGUAUGCUACAAAAAAAUCAUUUGGUUUUGGGUCCUUGAUUGUGUUAUCUCAAUCUACCAGGGUGUCGCUUGUUAUGUGUGUUCUCUUUUGUUCCUUGCAUAGCCUUUGUUUUCCUUCCUUUCUUUGUGUGUACCCAUAACUGGUUUAGAAUUUUGUAAACCAGAAUAUUUUUCUCUUUUUUUGGCCAAAAAAACUAAAGCAGGUCACUUCUUGAGUUGUCGCCAAAUCUGAGUAAAGUGAAGCAAAUAAACUAAUUGUAAAGAUAGUUGCUAAUUGGUGGUUAGAUCUCAUUAGUCAAAAUUAGUUAGUAAUUAGUCCAUGUUUAACCCAUUAUCACAUUUAGAAUUAAACUUUAGUCAUGCACUUUUAUUCUAUCCAAAUAGGACCUAAUAUUUUCUUCGUGUAGCAUAUUUAUUGUUGUUUAAUAUUACGCAUACAUCCUCAUCGUAAGCUGUGGAUGGCACUCAGCUGGGGUCGUAGGAUGUAUCGACCGGAUGAUCUCGUUUCUACUCCCAGCCUCAUCGUGCUUACUAGUGAAACCAAGGUAACAGUGGCAGGGUUGCCAAGCUUCUUUAACUUCAUUCAGGCGAAGAGGAGGAAUGGACAUCACUUAAAGCCACUUCAGCAUCUCAAACACCAAACUUAUCCAGCCACGUAUAAUUUUUUUUAAAUGACCAUUGCUCUUUCAUCAAGUGUCCAUUUCUAAAUCCAUUUGUAUCAUUGUGUUCUUUGAAAUGAGAUCAACAAAACAAGAUCCAUAUAUGAUAUGUUUUAAAAUUAUUUUAUGCGGCUGUAAAGUUAUGUUGAUUGUGAGUAAGUAACUUAUGUACAAAUUGUGUAACAACGUAUGUAUCAAAUUUAUGUACAGAUUAGUAGACAACGAUAUAUAUACAUCCUGAUACCUAGAGGUAAAGUAUAAAACUUGUACAAUUAUUAUGUACCAACUUCUAUUAUAUGUCUACUAGUUUAGUAAUGAAUUUAUAUAGAAAUAAAUGUAUCAAUUUAUACAAAGAUUGUGUAACAACUCAUGUGCAAAGAAUAGUAUGUAUAGAGACAAUGUGUUUACUUAUGUAGAUAGUUCAUAGAGAGACAAUAUAAUGGAGGAUAAAAAUUAUUUUAAGCAAUUUAUCUCAUAUUAUGUUGAGAGGUUUAUACAUAAGUUGUCACGCACCUAAUACAUAAGUAGCUACUGUACUUUCAAUAUAAAUUGCUAGAUUAUAAAAACUAUUCCAAAACAUAUAUAACAUGGGUCUUGUUUUAUAGAUCUUAUCGUAAAAAAACACGGUGGUGCGAUCAGAAUUAAAAAUGAACAAUUCAUGAGAAAAUUAUCGCAUUUUAUAGAAGUAAAAUUUAAAAAGAUUCUCGUGGGUGAUGGUCCAUCUCCCAACCGCCGGACUACAGGCCCUGCAGGUCGCGCGCUCGCGCAUUGGUGCGACCCGACGCUCCUUAGCUUUUUCCUUGGGGCAGUGAUUCCAUUGCACGCUCUGUCUGAGCUGGCGUAUCGUCCUGGUAUAUUAGUCCCGAAUCGUUUUGUUACGUUCAAGAAACCGGCCUUUCGCGAUGCGUUUUCGGGUUUUUUUUUUUUUUUGUCGCAACCACACAUUGCCUCAGUUCGUCGCUGGUACGAGCGCGAGGCGCACGGAAUCGUUCCGUUUCGGUCUCUCUUCUCGCAGUGGAAUUUGGGCCUGGCGUGCAAUUGGGCUGGGAUUUUAGCCCAUCUGUCGAUCGUCGCGUGGAGGCUACUAUACAUACAGUACACGUACACGCGUAUGACAACGACAUUAGUACCGUAUCGUUGUCCUACUCUCAGCGAACCAGGCUCAAAUAAGCGCGUCGCGGCCCACCAUUCGGGGUUGGUAGGAGGGCAAAGAUGGGCCUGAGCAGACGUUGUUAAAAGCGCGGCCCGGGUUGGACCAGUAGUGGGCUCUCUUGUGGCCCAUUUCGAUGACGGACACCCGAAACUAAUGGGCCCCUCCCACGCAGCUGGCUGGGCUCCUGCCGUGGAGCCUGCUUUACGUGGGGCAGCGUUGGUCUCGGCCCACCACCCCUCCUUCCAACUCCACCCCCCAAAUUUUUUGUUUUUCCUACCAGACUCUGUGUGAUACAUUACAUGAUUAUGCACCCAUCACAUGUUAGAGAUCUCUCUUCCUCUAAAAAAUACAUGUUAUAGAUCUCUUCGUUCAUUGUUGGUAUAGAUGCUACAAUUCAGAAAGGAUCGCAAGUCAUUUCCUUUUCAGUUAAACUACUUCAUCAGGAUGCUACAGAUGACUGCUGCAGGCAGUCGUUCGUUGUCACAGCUUAAUUUUGUAAUGUUGUCACAGGAGGGGAUCUGCGCAUCACUCAGCUCGACUCCUCUUCAUUAUCUUGGCAAUUGACGAGUUUGAGGCACCUUGGUCACCGUGAGACUUUUUUCUCCGUGACAUGUUUGAGGGUUUCCCUCUUGAAGGGUUGGAAUCAAGGCGACUCGACGCAUAAGCUUCUCCCAUCCUCUUUCUGCACUCUUUGCUUGCAGUCUCAUGAUCAACCACUGUAAAACCAAAAGAGUGUUCAAAGGUGCAUUAAUUAUUUCUAACUACGUCUUCAGAUAGUGUUCCUUUUACCUGGUUUCGGGUAGUCUUUGCCAAUAAUACAUUUGGCUUUCUUCUGGAUGCUAAGGGGAGCAGUCCAAGGCUCGUAAAUGUACUCCCUCGGCAUGUCUAAAUUAAUAGAAUAUAGCAUUGUGCAAAAGAAAAAUGUUUCGUUCUCUUUGUCCAAAAAAAAUGCUUUCUUCCGAGUUCUGACUUCAGAAGUACCUUUCAGCGCUGGAAUGAAAUGUCUGAUGUAGUUCCCAUUAGGAUCAUACUUCUUUCCAAAUGUAAUGGGGGAGUAAAUUCUGUGGUACUGUUUUAUAAGAUUGAAGUAAAGUAAGCAAACUAUUAGGCUGAACAAAAAUGUCCAUAACCAAUGCCAUCUGAAGGAUAUGCGUUGUCUAACCUGAUAGAAGAAGGAUGAGCAAGACAACCACAGCCAAUUGCCAUUGUUAAUGGCCCAGUCAGAGUCAAUCAGUAGCCUUUCAAAGACAUCACGACCUUUCUCCCAGUGGAUAAACUUUAAACGGAAAGUUAAGAAGUUCGUCAUGAGAAACACCAGGUAGAUUGGAAUUAGGCUUUGAAAAUUACUUUAGGUGCAUAAUGUCAUUGUCCACAAAUCUUUAAAAAAUGUCAAUGUCCUUAUAAAAAUUUGUUAUGCAACUAAAUGGUUUUAAGAUUCCACCAGCACAAUACUCCAAUGAAUGGCUCAUCAAAACAAUCCAAAACCCAUAUUUUCUAUUUGAAGAGAUUAAUGUAGCAAAAUGGCCAAUUCUCAUGGACUUCCUUUUCCUUUAGAAAAAUUACAAAGUUGCCAAAAGACCAAAAUUUUAAAGUACGAACAUGUAUGUUCUAUCAAGUAGGUUUAAGUAAAACUACGCAAAAAAAAGGGACCAAACUAGGCAUAGAAUUCCCAGCAGAGUUUCUUAUCCGAAGCAAGUUUCAUAUAUAAUACCAGAUCACCACGCGUCAGGAAACAAGCAACUGAAUGGCGUGCAAGGUGAUGCAUCCAGCCCCACUUCCUCAGCUAGCAGACAGUACACGAAAAGAACAUUAUCACAUAGACACAUACUCUGGUAGUUAUGUGUGCUGCAAUUAAAGUAACAGAAAACAGAACAAGGAGCAAAGUGCCCUAUUCUUGCAAAGUUCACUAGAGAGAACCUGAAUCAUGAUAGCAUCAAUCCAUGGAUACCCUGUCCGGCUGUCUCUCCAUGCAACAAAUAGCUCCUCAUUCUCACUCCAUGGAAUCUAAACUAAAUGGGAUUAAGUUACAGCUAUGCUCGUGAAAUGGCAUCAGUGUAUAAGAUAUGGUUCGAAGGAAGCAAACCUGCUUGCAUAUUUUGUUUCCUUUCAUCUGAUCAAAAUUAGGAAUCCCAAAAGACACUGUGUAGAAGAAGUCUCGCCACAGCAACUGUUACAAGAACAAGAGUCAUGCACUCAGAUCCACCUUAUAAUAAGUCGUGCAGCCUGAUUUUUCCUUCAAGCCCAAUAAAUGCAAUUACAAAUCACCUGGCCUGUCAAUGAAACAGGUGGUUUUGUAUAAUUUCUGACACUCCUGUAGACAUCCCGAAUGCAGUGGUAAAAAUAUCUGGACGACAGGCAGCCAAACUGCAACAUGACAAUCCGUCUCAACACUGCAAUCUAAGAUAAAUGGGGAAGAACAACUACCUGCACCGGGUCAGUGACAAAACUCACCUUGAGAUAUGGUGACAAGACAGUUGUUGCAGGUUUGAGGAAGGCAGAUGGGUCACCCUUAGGUUUCUCAAAUUUGGCAACCCAUUCCUACAGAAACAAGAGAAAAUCACAGAGAGAUCAAUUGUACAAGCUUUAAAAAAAGAGAUCAAUUGUACAAACAGCUAACAGCUAACAAAAACCAAUGGAUGAAUUGAAUCAGGAUAUGCCAUUCCAGAAGCACCCCACCUUAUUUUCAAUUGAUUCUUUCAUUCUCCUCAGAGCUUCUGUCUCACCUCCUCGGAAUGGCGGAAUCUCCUCCUGCAAAUGGCCAUCCAGCAGUUCAAGCCCCAUCGAGCAGAAACUGAAAUACUACUUCUUUGGACCAAUCUUGACUCCGCUCGUACCUGGCUGAUAUCCCCAUACCCAAGCUCCUCCACUGUGGGCACGGGCAACAACUCAUACUCUCCCGUGUCUCCAACCGGUGGGAGUUCAGAGUACUCCUCCAUAAGAGGCUCAGGUGGUUCCCCGGCAAUGGCGAUGAACGAUUGGUACGUCAAAGGCGGCCGACCACCGUUCUGCAAAUGGGCAAAACAAAAAUCAGGUAAGCGGUGAACUCCAAACAUUUGGCCCUGACUUCACUGGUAGUCUGGUACCCGCUAACGAGUGUAUACUAAGAGUAAGAGUGUUCGAGCACGAGUACCUUGUUUAUGAUUUCUGCUGGGUCGAAGAGGGUGUGGCUGACCGGCGUGAACACCUCGAUCCCCGAAGCCAUCGCAAAAUCCUACACGAAAAAAAAAUCUUCAUCGGAUAAGAACUUGUAAGAAAACUACUCGAGAUAAGCGAUCAUGAGCAGAUGAGACUCACCGUGACUUUCUUGUCGCGGACCAGCGCGUACGGCUCAGUGUCGGACUCGAAGCACAGCUUGCCGAUGUUCCACUGCGAUGCAAUUGUAAGUAUGUGCGAUGUACCCGAUGGACGAAGAGAAAAUCCGUUAAAUUUGCAUCGGGCGCGGUGGAGAUGGGCGGAUGCUUACGUCCUUGAGGGCGGCGCAGACGGCGUCGGCGACGUCGUCGCGGGCGCGGAGGAGGAGGAGGCGGGAGCCGAGGCGGCGGAGGCGGGCGUCGAGGUCGCCGAGGCUCUCGAGGAGGAAGCGGACGCGGGCGACCCCGGCGCGCGCGGAGCCCGGGGACGCCGCGGCGGGGUCCGGGCGGAGGUACCGCGGGUCGAGCACGAACACCGGGUACAACCGCCCGGCCCCGCGGCGGGCCGCGUCGAGCGCCGGGUUGUCGUGCACGCGCAGCCCCUUCCGGAACCACACCAUCGCCGCCGCCGUCGCGGCGGUCGCGGCCUCCAUCGCGGCGGGUGCUAUUGCCUGGUUGGGCGUUGGGACGCUCGGAAAGUCAGAAUUGGGGAAUUUUGCCGGCGUCGGAGUGGAGAGAGGGCGCCGGCCGUUGAUGGGCGACUGGGCGGCGGAGGUUUGAACAAGGGAGGUAACCGUAGCGAGUGGCGCGGGUACUGGCCACGUCGGUUUCCUUUUGGCCGUUCCAGUCGUGCCACACGGGAUCCGGUGCGGCUACUUGGACUGCUAGGCCAGAGUGCGGCAGGCAAGAGGGAAAACAAAGCCAGCGUACUAGAACAUUCACCUUCCCAAAACCGCAAAAUUAAUGUGUUGCAAGCUGUAUCCAUGCACCAGAUUUAGGCAAUGCAAGGUAACACGCUGAAAACAGCUCGGCUCCACAAGACAAAACACAAGUAUACAAGCACACGUUACAUAAAAAACAGUCGGUAUUUGUCUAAAGAACAUCCGGGGAAAUGCAAAAGGAAUAAUGGCAUCCAAGAACAAGAUAUUAUUAUGAUUCUCAUUUGAUUCCACCGACGAAUAGAAACCGUGCAACAUGUUCUACAAAAACAUAUGCUAGGCACAGAUUAUUUGUCUGAAGACGACUGAACCGCAUCCAAGAUCAUCAUCCCAAACAUAUGCAACACUACUACAGCCAUAACACCACCAGGGGCUCCUCAAGUAUCAAAACGGCUUCUCUACCGACUACCAGUAGCAACUUAAUUUUAACAUAAAGUGCCGAUGGAUCGAUCAACACCCAAUGCCAAAAGGUAGUAAAAACAUUUCACUGCCCCCUACUUCCCAGCAGAAUCUGGGGAGCCAUCUCCGUAGGAAACCAGGACUUGGGCUUGCAGACACCGAACGGGAUCGGGAUGGAGACGGGGACCGAGACUUCUCAUCACUUGCACGCUUAGGAGACGGGGAAUCCGGUGGGGACCGAUCAUGUGCUGGUGGUGGAGACCUUGAUCGUGACCCGGACAGGCGGCUCCUGGAGACUGACCGUGCACGCUCACGGCUCACCGCGUGACCUUGGUUUCCCGGCAGGGGGCGAACGACUCCGUACAGGGCUUCUGCUGUAGCCACCUCCCCUUCGUCGCUCUCUGUGGACAGGGCUGCGUGAGGUGCUUCGGCUCCUCCUCCUGUACCUACUAUGCCUCAAGUGGUAAAAUAAAAGAAAUCAUGACAUGGAACCAACUCAGAAAUAAUACCUUGAAAUAAAAUUUGAUUCGAUCAUGCGUGUCAUACAUUUAAGUUAAAUAUCCACAUAAAACUAGCACUUGUUCAGAAUUUGGUUCAAUGAUGUGUGCAUCACAAAUAAUACCAGAAGCUUGAUAUCCAUAAAAAAAAAGACCAGUUGUUAAAUUAUCACAUAUAACACCAGUUCAUUUACCUUGGUGAUGAUGGUCUGCCUCUGGCGGGAACCCCGGUAACCCAUGUAUCCACAGAAGGAGAAAAAAUAAUUGAAAAAUCCAGAAUAAAUGAAGCAAAAGCUCAAACUUUGAUUAAAUUACCUGUCACGGUCACUUCUUCCACCAUAGCGAUGCGAGCGAUCAGCAGAAGGUGAGCGAUAUUGUCUUGCAAAUGAGUACCGCUGAGUAAAACCACGUCCCCGCCUUAUGCGUUUUGGAGACCCAUCAGGAGAGCCAGUCCUGGAUGGGCUCCUCCCAUUGUUUGGUGGUGGUGAUAUUGCCCUGCGAGGUGGACUGGGACUUCUGCUAGUGUUCCUGCGAGAUCGACCACCUCUUACAGGGCUUCUGCUCACACUUCUUCUAGGUAUUCUCACAGGGCUCCUGCUCAGGCUUCUACGUAUAUUCCUUCGGGGACUUCUGAUCGGGCUUCUCCUGGCAGGCCUACGUGGGCUCCUUGAAAACCUAACAGGGCUCCGGCUAAUGAUCUAUUUGCUAUUGCUUUCUCGGUUGGCAGUUGGCACAUAUAGAGGCGGGAGAUUAUUUCCUUAACUUUUUUUAGGAAAAUUAUUUCCUUAACCUAACAGCUAGACACUCGAGGCGGGUCCUCCACGAUGGCGCCGCCGCCGGUCGCUUCACCGGCGAGAAGAGGCCUCGUCGUUCGACACUCGAGGACGGGCCUCCUUGGCUGGUCCAGCUGCGAGGUCCUGCUGGUCAGCGUGGCGAGAGCUGCCGACAUGGCCGGCCUGUGGCCGGGCGACCGCUGCACGCAGAGGAGGCCGAUAUGGAUGCACCUCCGCAGCUCGGACAGGAGGUCGGCGUCGGAGUCGGAGCAAGGUCGCGGCACCGCCGGGUCGAGGAGGCCCAUGAUCCUGUGCUCUUCCCAGAGCUUCCAUACCUGCAAAAUCAUUGCAAAUUCAGCAUGGUUACCUGAACAGAUGCCAACGGAAAAGGACGUCGCGUGCUCACGUGCGAGAGGUGGCUUGGCUCGGCGCUGUUCCUCCGGCCGCUGACGACCUCGAGCAGCACGACGCCGAAGCUGAAGACGUCGCAUUUCAGCGUCAUGUCCCCGUCCUUGGCGUACUCCGGCGGCGCGUAUCCCCUUCGUGCAACUUGCCCGUGUCAGUCGAUGCUGAAGUUUAGCUGUGUACGCUCUGAUGUCAAGAACAGAAGCUACUCACGGUGAAACCACUACAGUUUGCGUCCCUGUCUGAUCGACACGGAACAGCUUCACCGUGCCGAAGUCUGCUAUCCUAGGCUUCUAUCGGCUGUCCAGAAGCACAUUGGACGGCUUAAGAUCUCGGUGGAUCACGAUCUCGCCUGUCCCCUCAUGAAGGUAGCAGACGCCUCGAGCGAUUCCAUGGAUGAUCUCCAACCUCGUCGGCCAACUCAAUGAAGCACGAACGCUGAGUUUUCCUGUCAGUUCCAGUUUUUGAAGCAAUGAAGUUUCAAGGUGUGUAGCAAUGAUACAUCAAGAAAUGCAGGGUCAGUGCGUGGGGUGUUACAGUAGAGAUUCAGGCUCCUGUUCUGCAUGUACUCGUACACCAGCAGCCGCUCGUUGCCCUGGUCGCAGAACGCGAGGAGCCGGACGAGGUUGUCGUGCCGGAGCUUGGACAUGACCGCCACUUCCCUCGGGAAAUCGUCCAGGACUCUGUUUGGCAGGGAUGAAAGCUUAAGCCUCUUCACGGCGACCUUUCUCCCAGGUAGUCCUCCGGCCAGAGGAUGAUCAUUCGGUAGCUGACCCUGCAAACAGUCAGCUGGAGAUGUGUUACACAAUGCAGAUUUGAAUUUGAAAAAUGCGUUCUCUGGUCUUUUGGACAAAAUCAGCACAAGUGUUUGCAGACCUCAUAGACGAUGCCGAAGGCGCCUUCGCCGAUCACAUUCGUUUUGGAGAAAUUCCCUGUGGCCUUCUCUACGGUGGCCAACAGCCGCAGCAUCCAGAGGCUUGUGUGCUUCCACAUCAGCAACGCCAUUAUUUCGAGAUAUACUUGUGCGAGACGCCAAGUUUUGUGUCUCAUGUUCCUGCAGAUAAUGAAGGCUACAGAAAGAAAAAUGGCCGCAACGGCGCAAACAACAGAUAUGGCUGCGAUGACGGCCGCACUUAUCCUCCUGGUCCUGGCAUCAUCUUCUGAGGAGAGUUGACAGAAGCAUGGCUCAAUUGCCAGAGCUGAGGUUUCCCAGGAAGAAUGAACAUGCCAACACUUCAGAACUUUUUACGCUGACAUACCUACUUCAGACUUGGCGAGCCUAAGGUAGAGGUCCUGCCCUUUGUCCGUGUACCGGACGUCGACAAUGUCAUGGGUCCAGAUGAUGCGUCCACUGCCAGCACCACCUCCUCGGAUGUCCGCGGCGGCGUAGGCCACGCACGAACAGUUUGCGAGGCACCUCGCGCUGCACUCCUCCACCGACGCGUUGUGCGUGUCGGGCAGCUUCACAUUCCUAACGAUCACGAACCCGUCCGUCGUCGUCGUCCCAUUGCCGCAGUCCAGCGGCACGUUCCGCCGGCACCCGCCGGAGGCCUCCCUCAUGCGCCACGCCGACGGCGACGCAGGGCCGAACCCCUUGGCGCAGCCGCAGAACGACGUGGACGCGGCGUUGACGUUGCACAGGCCGAACGGCCCGCACCUGGCGUAGGCGUCGCACACGUCCCGCGGCGUGCUGUAGAAGGUCUUCCACGCCCGGCUGCUGGGGUCCCAGACCAGGGGCUGGAUCGCGCCGUCCUCGGUCACCACGAGCAGGGAGAAGGGCGCGCCGGCCUUGGCGUGGUAGCCGUAGGUGACCUCGCCGGGGCUCGCCGUCACCUAGUACGCGAACAUGUCGGCGUACGACCGCAUCUCGGGCACGCCGUUGAACCAAAGGGCGUUCCACGGGCCCGUACGGUACUUCUUCGCGCCGCCGUGCCACACGACGUUCUCCGGAAGCCCGGCCGUCUGUGUCCCUCGCCGGUAUGGCCCGGGGGCCGGGUCGUUGGCCGACCGCCACGACGUGAGGUACCACUCGGCUCCGGUCCACAGAUUCUUGCCGGUCUUCAUGCCGGGCAGCAAGGUGUUCGACGGAUGGUCGAACGACUGCCACAGGACGGCGCUGCUGUUCCGGUGGCGGAGGACGACCAGGUUGCCGGAAUGCAGCAGCCGCGCCACCGCCGAAGCGGCGCCGACCGAGUUCGAGGACCAGACGACCUGCCCGGAGCCGUCUAGAAGGAAGAGCCUCCCGGUGUCGCCGAGCACCAGCACGCCGGAGGUGUCAUUGAGAGGCCGUUCCCGGUUGGCCACCCAGCACACGGCGGUCUCCGAGACGGAGAACCAUAUCCAAGGUACCUCCGGGUGGUCACUCCAGGAGAGAAGAAACCCAGCGUGAAGAACCCACCGGACGAGACGAGCGUCUCGCCGUCGGUGAUGUUGCGGCCGUGGUCGAACAUGUCGGAAAUGCAGGCGGCUGGUGUUCCGAGAAGGAACAGAGACAGAGAUAGGAAGACGAGGACAUGGCUGGCCAUUAAGCUCGUGAUCGACGGAUAGGUGUUUCCUGCUCUUGAUGAGCAACAAGGUCAUACGGCAUUGACUGCUGAUAUAUACGUAUGAUCCAACAUGCUUUACUACUCUCGAGUUACGAUCUCGAAUUCUAGGAGCUGGCGGAAUAUAGGCCCCGUUUGGUAGGGUUUCUCAAAGUGCUUCUCCACCGGCUUUUGAUGAAGCCCUACCAAAGGAUCAAUUUCAAAACGGCUUCACCACCAAAGCCGAGGAGAAGCGGCAAAACGGCUUACACUAGAGAGGAGAAGCCGAAAAAAGUGGCUUCACCGGCUUCUCCUCUCUCUCCAAGCAUUAAGUGAUCAUAAAAUUACAUAUAUUGCCAUUGAGAAGCCGUUUUACCAAACGUUUUGCAAAAUGGCUUCAGCUUCACUAAAAAGACCACUCCACCGAAGAAGCCGAAGCCGAAGCCGUUUUAUGAGAAGCCGAAGCUCUACCAAACGGGACCAUAGUAAUGAGAGUUGUCCAUGGAUUGGCGGGAAAGUUAAAGGGGCCUUUGGUAGGGCUCUGGCCUCUGGCUCCGGCUUUUGCACCGGCUUCAGGCCAAACCCUACCAAACGGCUGAGUUGAAAAGGGCUUCACAGGAGAAGCCGGUGUGAAGAAGCCGGUCAUCAAAUUGAACUGAGCAGCGUGAGCCAUAAAAUUAGGCCCUUGUUUACUUCCCUCCAAACUUCCAACUUUGACACUAUGCAAAAAGAAGAUUAUCCAUCACAUCAAACUUGCGGUACAUGCAUGGAGUACUAAAUGUAGACGAAAUCAAAAACUAAUUGCACAGUUUUGCAUGGAGUACUAAAUGUAGACGAAAUCAAAAACUAAUUGCACAGUUUUGUUGUACUUUGCGAGACGAAUCUUUUGAGCCAAAUUAGUCAAUAUUUGGACAAUAAUUCACAAAUACAAACGAAACGCUACAGUAUCGCAUUUAUGGCAAAAUGCCAAUUUGGCACCUCCCAACUUGGGAAGUAAACAAGGCCUAGCUUUCCCCGGCUUCUCCUCUUCCCCACACAGCCAUGUGCUUUAACUUUGCCCCUCAAGUUCGUCGAAACUACUGCAAAAUUGCCACUCCCCUUACCUUCUCUCCGCGACGCUGGUGACGACACCGGGCUCGGGAAGGACCAACGUCGGGGCGGCGCGGCAGCUCGCUCGCGGUGCUGCCGGUGCGCUGGUGGUGGCGCAGGCCGACGGUAGGCGGAGGAGCAGCGGGACAGCGCCGCCGCGCACGGCGCACCGGCGGCGGUGUAUCGCGGGGACGACCGGUGGCCGCGUGGCCGCGCGAGGCGGUCUGACGGCGGCGUGGUUGCCGCACCGGCGGCGGAGCGGACCGGCUGCUGGAGCUCCUAGGCGGGCGAGCUCGAGGUCCCCAGGCUGCCGCGCGAGCAUCGAACGUAACGGGUGCCAGUGAAGUCAACGAAGGAGAUAAAGCACGCUCGGCAAAAACAGAAAUAGGAAAAAAGGCAUGUUGGGAAGGGCCGAAGGGGAUAAGGCACACCCGGCAAAAAAAAAAAGGCGUAAGGAAAAAAAUAGUAGAUGGAAUAAAAGAACGAUGGAAAAGAAAAAAAGGAAUGAAAAAGUAUAUGUUCUUAUUUUGGACAUUUCAUCUUUCUAUCAACCUCAAACUAACUUCGAGAAGCCAAUCACAAAUAUUUUUCAAUAGAAUGAGCCGGAGCCAUAAAAACCGCUUGAUGAGUCGAAGCCGAAGUCAUUUUAGUACAAGCCGAAGUCCUGCCAAAGAGGUUGACAAUGACCUCUAUGUUUAAGCUGCUGAUGGUUAUCCAGUGAGUUGAAAAGGAGGAAGACUGUACGAAUUUAAGUUUGUGAACAGAGAAGGUAAUACAGGUCGUACCACACCAAUUAUGAGUUCACCACAUACAAUGGCCAAUCUUCCACUAAAUUACAGUCUACGCGCAAAGUAUUUCUUUUUUUUUUCAAUCUCUGUGCUGUGACUACUGACUACAAGUACUGAAUGCCUUCUGAUCCAAGGCAUAUGCAACUUUACCAUUUUUGCGAGCACCAAUGUUUUGACUUCGCUCAUUCAUAUAACUAUGCAGAUACAAUACAAAGAUAAGUAAGAUAGGGAAAGUAAGACCAACAGAUGAAACCAGUGCCUGGUUUGGCCUUCGCCUUUCUUUUUCAUUUUUUUGUAUUUUUUAUUGAGAAAGAUAAAAACAGAUAAAUUCAUUUGGUCAGACUAGGCCCAAGCAUCACAUUCGAUCCACACAAAAACAGCAGGAUACCAGUUCACAAGAACCUCAUACGAUUUAAAACAUUCACACAUAUAUAUACAAUAAAAAAUCCCAAAUACACAAUAUACCCCGAAUACUAUCUCUUGGACUAAGUAUUUCGUACAAAUACAAACUUAAUUAGUAAUAGGAAGGAUGAAGGAAGAGUAGGGAAACAACAAAUCUAGCGAUACAAUGCAAGGCCAUAUGGACAAUACGGUAUGAAACUUCAGCAGCCUGAAAUAGCGAGACUAUCUGCCCUGAAGGUCCGUGUAGGUUAGUUGAUUAUCUGAUCCAGUAUAGUUGUCAUCUGCAGCAAGACGAGGAACCCUUCCAACAAAAAAUGCAGCUUGCUUUGGAGAUGGAAUUGUGACAUCACCACUCAGCAUCCUGAGAACUAUGGACAUGGUUGGCCUUUCACCUGGUAACUCCUGAACACACAAGAGACCCACCUGAAUGCAUCUGCAGACUUCAUCAUAAGUGUAUGUGGUGCCCAUCAGUGGAUCAAUAAGCUCUGAGACACUGCCUUCCUUCCACAGGGUCCAUGCCUGGAAUACAAGUUGUGGAUGAGAGAUGGAAAGCAAAAAGCUGGUGAUUAUUUGCAAGUUUAACUAGAAGCCUUUCUCUUAAUGAAAUACGUGCUCAGACACGAUGGCGAAAAAAAGUUUAACUAGAAGCAAGGUAAGGCGUAGGAGACAGUGCUAUCUUACAUAGCCCAAGAGGUUCAUUGACCAUUCUUCAUCGACAAAAGAGCUGUUCCUCCUGCCGCUCACAAUCUCUAGGAUCAACACGCCAAAACUGAAGACGUCAGAUUUCUCAGAGUAUUUACCCUCCAUCGCAUACUCCGGGGAGAUGUAGCCACUGCAUUUCACAGAUUUUAGCACAUUAACUUCUGCCAGGUGAUAUAAUGUCAACUAGAAGGGGAGCUAGUUUGUCUUUUAUCUGAAUAAAGCAGUAAGAUUUGCAAGGUUGAAUUGCAACUAGUAAUAAGCAACACCAAACCAAUCAUUACAGAAGCAGAUGAAUACAAUUCCAUUUAUACCAUGGGACUCCCUGUUCAAAUAUACUGUACCCAGAAAAGAGAAAAACAGCCUUACUAGGUUCCAACGAUUCGGCGAGUGAGGUCUUGAAGCUGGUGUUCACCGAAAAUUCUAGCCAUGCCAAAGUCGGAUAUUUUGGGGUUGAAAUUAUCAUCUAGUAAAAUAUUGCUUGCUUUGAGAUCCCUAUGAAUAAUUUUCAGCCUGGAAUCCUGAUGAAGGUACAGUAACCCUCUUCCAAUUCCCUGAAUUAUAUUGUAUCGUAAUUUCCAACCUAAUAAAGGCCUCUUACUUUCAUCUGAUAAAUUUAUAGAAAGUAUUAAAUGUUAACAGAAAAAAUCAGUUACUGGCUUACUCUGCAAAAUAUGCAUAUAUAAUCAGAGCUGCAAGAAACAAACUGAAACUUACUGAAAAUAAACGAGUCAAGACUCUUAUUGGGCAUGUAUUCAUACAGCAUCAUCUUCUCUUCUACAUGAAUACAACAACCAAAAAGCCUCACUAAGUUCCGGUGCUGCAACUUGGAUAGAACCGUCACCUCAUUCUUGAACUCUUCCAAUCCCUGCCCGGAGCUUUUAGAUAACCUCUUAAUAGCAAUUUCUUGGCCAUCUGGUAGUAUUCCCUGGAGAUAGCAUCAUGUAUCCACUAUUAUCCAGUUAUUUACUUCAUCGUAUCACCAAGAUGGCGAGAAUUAAUCAAACAAUCAACCAUAUUACAACAGUUGGAGAAAAUAUUUGAAUUAUCCAACACUCCACCUUGUAAACUGAACCAAAUCCACCUUCGCCAAGCUUGUCACUGAAAUUGUUCGUUGCUGAAUAAACAGUGCUGAACUCAACUAAUGGUGAGCUCAGAAUUGAUCCUUUCACCGAAUCAUCUUCAUAUAUGUUAUCAUCUGCAGCUGAUGUUGAUUUAGCUUUUCCAGCAGUCUGAAAUGGUUUUUGUAUUCUCCGCACACCUGCAAUUUGGUGAAAAGUUCAACAAACCUACACUCUUUUUUUGGAGAAUUCAACAAAACUACAUAGCUAUCCAUGUAAAUUGAACGACGACUGUUACAUCUAAAAAUCUGCUUCCAUGGAAAUUACGCUGAUACAAAUGGUUAUAUUAAAUAUCAACCUGCAAAUUUCACAAUCUGAGCAACAAUAGGAUUUGAAAAGUCUCAGUUAUGAUGAUACAAAAAGGAAACAUCUUAUCAUACAAUUUCAUUCAAGAAGCUGACAAAAAUAAUGAGGUUAUUGAUUCAUUGUCAAUUUUGGACAGAGCUUCAUAAGAAACAGAUAAAAAGAAAGAAAAGGAAGAAGACUGAAGAAAAAAUGAAAGUCCAGAACUCGAGAUGCAUGUAAGAAAAAGGCAGAAAACAUCAUAUACCUAUUUGCUUGAUGAUGUGCCUCUUCAGGAAACCAAACACGCAGAAAUGCAUGAUGCCAAUCUGUGAAGCUAGUACCAAACUACCAAUACACUCAACUGAUCAAGCUUUUAUGCUCUGUGGAUACGAAUGCUCGUCAAACAGGAAAUUUCGUGACUUUUGCAAGCCAAUGAAUCGCUAAUGCUCCCUGUAAACAGAAGCACUUAGUCAACUAGAUCAUGUCGUCUGAUGAUUAAAAAAACAAAACCAGUAGUUUCAUAUGACGAUGGCAGUGGAACAUGAUGCUAUUAGAAUAGGAUUUCUCUUGUUUGACAUCUUGGCUUAGACGAAAAUUCUGAAGAGUCUGUACUUGUUUAUGUUAUCAAAUUUGACUAUUGCGAUAUGGCACCAUAUGUCGAUGCCACCGGGGAACGCGUAUCUUGUUAUAGAAGUAAAGAAGACCAUAUUUUAUUUGUAAACAACGUCAACAGUAGUGUUAAGAGUUAAAGACAGAGUUUUGAUAGGGACAGACACAACAAACCAGUAUCAAGCAACAACAAAGCUGGGAUCACCCCAGUGGCCAGCUCUGGAUGACCAACUCUGAAAAUUCAGACGCGGAAUGUGUAUGCCUUGCAGCAAUAAUGGACCAUCAGGGUCACACAUUGCUGAUAAGACACCAAAUUUCGACAAACUAUCCAUUCUCCUCACUCUUCAUGCCUGCAGGGGGAGGAUCAGAUUAAAUGCAACAGAUUUUGAGAAAUAUAAUUCUGUGCAAAUGGUUGGUUGAAAUAGGCUACCUUGUUACCGAUGGCUCAUUUGCCGUUUCUCCGGCCGGGCGGUGGCCAGCCGGCGGCCACGUCUUCGCGCUCGGUGUUGCGCCGCCGCCUCCCUCGUCAUCGCCGGCUAGGUCUCCGGCGGGCCGUGGGCGAGGCGAGUGCCCGUGUGGAUUAGGCCUCGAACGAAGCCGGGCCACGAUGACGGGUUUCUUGGCCCAUUGUACAAAGGACGCGGGAUGGCCCAGCUUUUCGUAGGGCCCAAUUGUUCCCGAUGUCCAUGUUGCUAUGUCGAUUUGGAUCAUAAUGGGCCAGUAAAUCUGCUUUUGAGAACGAAUUCGCGAGGGAGGAUGCGAUCCGGAAAUCCUAUUCAUCUUCCGCGAGAUUUUUUCUCCCUCACCUUCCAGCAUUUGAGAUUCAUGCAAAAUAACUCGUACCGUUGAAUUCCACAGACCCUAACACACAUCACCCUACUUCCAGCCUCCUCCACUCCCGCCGCCCCAGCCUCCUCCACUCCCGUUGUCGGCCGUCGCCUCACCCUACCCCCCGCUGCACCGUCACGACCUCGUGCGCCGCCACCCCUGCAGCACGGUCCCAUCACAGCGCGCACCGCUCGCUGGUGCCGGAGAAGAAAGAUCCAAAAAAAAUGUUAUGUUCAACUUUAAAAAAAAUGUUGGCUGAACUUUAUCGAAAAAUAUUGGUUCAACUUUUCUUUCAAAAAUAUUGGUUCAACUUUUGUCGGAAAAAUGUUGGUUCAUCUUUUUCUUCAAAAAUGUUGAUUCAACAUUUCUCUGUUGGUUCAACAAUUCUCAUCCAACAUUUUUUUCAUUCCCACGCUGGUUCACCUAAGGCUCCAACAGAACGGGAUAAUUAGCCAGCUAGUGCAGGCAAUAGUUAUAGCUAAUGGGCUUAAUUGGACUUUAUAGUUUCAAUUCGUAUCUAUGAGCCUUGGAUCCUACCAACAAAAAAACACACGUGCACUGCUCCCUCCCCAGUUCCCCAGUAGCAGCGGUCAGUGGCAGUAGUGAACUGUGAGAGGGUGGGAACUGAUAGACUGACAGCGAGAGGUCAGGAAACUUUGCGUGUUUGAUUGAAAACGUAGGAUCAAAUGUGAAACAACUAAUCCAUUUUAUUUCGACGAUCCAAACGGAAUGAUCCAUCACCAUCCCUAUCUCUUACGAGCACAUAGCUAGUGCAGCAACGAAGAACGCGUGACGAUUCUAUGAACAUCUCAUCUCUUUAUUAUUGCAAGUGGAGAUAUACUACCCCUCAUCCAUGUGCUCACUAACAUAGUUGUGGAUCCACCUACUACAUUUUUCAUCAAACCAAGGUUUACCGUCUGCCUAGCGCAAAACCACAAGGGAUCUCGUUCUCGUUUGCCGUGGCUCCGGGGCGGUGCUGGCGGGUCAACCUGGAAGUUUGGAUGAGACCGUGGCAUGAUGAGCUCAUGUACGUAGUAGCUAUUUCGUCCUCGAACGAUCUGAAGAAAUCGUUCAACAGGUGGACGACGUUUUCUCCGCCUGGUAAACGCGAUUUCCGGGCCUUCAUAGUUCAACGGAGUUUAACGCGCCUAAGCAAAAGCAUCCGUGUGCGCGUGCCGUCUCGGUCGCCGCGCCACCCACCCCACUCUGACGGCGCUGCUGCGAUUCGUCGUCGUACUCGUAAAGGCGCGUCGAGUCGCCAGAUCAAACCGGUUGGAACUUGGAACUGACCGGAAACCCAAUUCAGAGCCGAAGACGAAGAACAACCAGCCAGCCAGCUAGCUAUAGGCGACACAAACCGAUCGGAAGCCUUGGCGGCUUUCCACGCGCCAGAGGAGAGGACGCGUCCACUCCACCCGUUUCACACCACGGGGCAGGCACGGCGACGGCGUCUGGAAUCUCUGGCGCGGCCCACUUGUCAGGUUCCAACGAGUGCGCGGCAGGCCGCGCCCACCACCAACCGACCACGCUUCCACUUGUCCUGGCGUCACCAGCGCUUCUGCGAUCGAGAUCACAUGCCACUAUUCAAACAAAAAAAAAAUUGAUCACAUGCCACUUAGGUCAGCGACGAAAGGAAGGAAUCGCUGGAUGGAUCAGCGGGGCCUUUUUUUUGUCUUUUGGAUGUAUGCGGUUGCGGCCGGUUAUGGUGCUCCCUCCUCCGUCAUCAUCGACUAUUCUACCAUGGCGGCUCUCUCGAUCCUGUAGUCUUGUGCGUGCGAUGACAACGACUGCUUGGUCGCCGCGUCUGCAAUUCUGCAUGCGCGAGCAACUUUUCUUUUCUUCACGUUUUGCUUCUAGUAGAUCGACAGUCGGUGGCAACUGCUACUUCUGACAGUGGAUCUGGGUUUGUAUUUUUUAUAACUCUGGACCGUGUGUCCUCAUGUAAAGAAACAUUGGACGUUGCGUCCUCAUCUCAAAAAAAGAUUGGACAUUGUGUCAUCAUCUAAAAAAGAUUGGACAUUGUGCCACUGCCAACAGCUAGUGGCAGGGUCUCCUGCUAGAGAGCGCUGCUACUCGAGCUUGAGCAGAAUACUUGUGUCGCUAUGCCUCCAAUCGAUAUCUUCAGCUCUCAACAUAAUUCAACAGAAUACUUGGUAAGUUAAAUGCUGUUACAAAAACAACUCAAUAAACUGUUUUAGCCAAUCCAAACAGACAAACACCAUUUUUGGGGCUAAUAGCCAAUCCAAUAAACUUGUUUAGUGAUAGUUUUUUUUGAAUACAAGGCCGUUUUUUAAAAAAAGUACAAGGGUUGUUUUCUAUAAAUUUGGACCUGUUUGGUUAUUGAUGCUUAUUUAUAAGCAACUUAAGUUGCUUAUUGUAGUUGCUUAUUUAUAAGUCUAGGUGUUUGGUUUGGGUUGCUUAUCUGAUUGCUAUUGACAUAUUUGCCCCUGCCAUCCCAUCUCCCUCUACCCCUAGUAAUUACCCAGCUCCUAGUCCUUGGCGCCAGAAAAAGCGGGCAGCGGCGGGGCGCGAGCGGCGGGUGGCUGGCGGCGGGCGGCGGGCGCGAGCGGGAGCGGCGGCGGGUGCGAGCGGCGGCGGGCGGAGGCGGCCAGUGCAGCGGCGGCGGUGGGCGGAAGCGGCGCUAGAGUGGUGACGGGAGAGAGGAGAGAGAAAGGGGAGAGAGGAGAGAGAAUGAGGGUAGGAGGUGUAAAGUGCCCCAUAAGCAACCAUAAGCAACUCAAAAGUUGCUUAUUUGCUUAUGCAUAGGCAACUUAUAAGCAAGUCUAUAAGCAAGAGUGAUUGGUUCAUAAGCAACUUAUUUGCUUAUUUUUAAGUUACUUAUGCAUAAGCAACUUAAACAAACAGGCCAAAAGACAGUUACAAGGUUUGGUUCAACCAACGCAGAAGCAAAGGAAGGUGGGGAAAAAGUCAGAAAGCAAAGGUGGUGGCGUGGUGCUGCCAUCACGUGACGUCGAUGCAUGCCAAUGGACUGGAUGCUGCAGACUGGACAAUAAUGCCGAGCACCAUCCGACGCAGCCAAUUCGAACCCAACGGGGGUCCUUUUCUCUUUCUCCGCUGCUUCGUCGUCAGCGACAUAUAGCCUCGCCUCCAUCUCCCCUAUUAAUAUUCCUCUCAUCCAGGCCCAAACCCGCCGAAUCCUCGCCCUCGGGUAGCCGAAUCAACACACGAAGCACGCGGGGCGCCCUGAUUCUUGAGAUUCGAGGUAAAAUCCAUGGAACCGACCGCCCCUGCUCUAUCUUCCCAUGGGGAUUUCUUUCUCUUGGUUGCUGUAUCUGAAUUGCGAUGUCGUUGCUUGUGUUCGGGGAGGGAGGAUCUUGCUAGCCGCUGCUAAGAUCCCGAUCCGCGCGCCCCGUUCGGUGGUCGAUUCUCGCUCGCUCUUCGCCGCUUACCCUGAUGGAUUAAGCACGGUUCCCGUCCAUGGGCUUGGGAAUCCCAUUUUUGUUUCUUUGCGCGCAAUUUCAGUCGGUUGCCGUUAGUUUCGUUCUCCCCAUUGCGGGAACAUUGCGGCAUUGUUUUGUCUUACCGAGAAAAACUGUUGACAUUGUGAUUUGCGAUUUUUUACUUAAUUAUUCUUCUGAGAAAUAUCUCUACCAUUACUUUUUUGGGAAAAAGAAUCAAUAGGUUCCGAUUUGUUUAUUCGCUCUAGGCUAGCCUUUUGUGAACCUUUUUUCAUCUUUAUCCCGCUUUUUGUUUCUUGUUACAUAUACUAAAGGCAGACACGCAGUGACACACAUGUAUAGUGCGAAUUGAGAAGAUGCUGAAUUGGGAGAGCAGUAGCAUGGAAUUGCAUAUCUACCUUAUUUUGAACACUACUUCCUGUUGGGCUGAAUGCAAUAUACUGUUCAUUUCCUUCCUUAAUUCUAGUACUAUUUCCUGUUCCUCAAAUUUCUUGUUGUAAUUAUAGAUACUGCAUCAAUAAUCCUGUAAUAUGUGAUAGCAUGUUUUUUUUUUGUGAAUGAUUGGUAUUCUGUAAACAAGUAAUGGGGAUGGACAUGGUGAAAUCAUGAGUUUUAAGAGCAUUUUUACCUUCCUGCACCUUGUAAUUUCUUUCUACUUCUCCAGCUCCUGCUUUGCAUGGUGCGAAGUGGAUAAGAGAAAAAAUAAUUCUGACUCGUGAACAUGCUUUUGCAGGAUGGAUCUACAUAGAAAUGGCACUAAUGGUUCUGACCACAGCUCUUGCGGGCCACUGACAAACUACUACAUCCCAGAUUACAUACUGAAGCCAGACUCUGAACAAGUCAUUGUUGAUAAUGCACCAUCCUGCCCUGUGGUAGUCUUCAUCAACUCUAGAAGUGGUGGCCAACUGGGGAGCAGUCUGAUCAAAACAUACCGUGAACUUCUCAAUGAAGCACAGGUAAACAGGCUACCAGUUUGGAAAAGCUGUAAUACUGAAAAAUGUGCUUUCCCUUGCACUAUACUAUAAUAGUACUUUAAACCAUGUUCUCAUUGUUGGAUCCACUCAAUUUUCAUAGGUUUUCGAUCUCUCAGAGGAGGCUCCUGACAAGGUUCUGCACAGAUUAUACAGCAACUUUGAAAAGCUCAAGUCUAACGGUGACCUCCUUGCUAUUCAAAUUCAGAAGAACUUAAGACUGAUCGUGAGUAACCUACUUAUAAAUUUAUUGCAUCCAAAUGAAUUUCUGGUUGGAUGUGUCCUUUUAUUAACAAAGGAGCUUUGAAAUAGGUCGCUGGUGGUGAUGGCACAGCAAGUUGGCUGCUUGGAGUAGUUAGUGACCUUAAGCUUUCACAUCCACCACCUAUUGCUACUGUGCCUCUAGGAACUGGAAACAACCUUCCUUUUUCAUUUGGAUGGGUACGUCAAUGGCAAUUGUUUAUUUUCAACAUUCAGAUUUCCUAAUGUAUGACAAAUACCUCUAUGUUUUUGUGUGUGGAAAUUCACUUGAAUGAAGAUGCUGGUUAAAGUUCUUGUUUGACUGUUCACUAUGUACAUAGCCAUAAAAGUUAGAAAUAAAAAAAAUAUUUUUUUAUGAAACUGCUACCUACUGCAACUCUUUAUAAGAAAACUGCUAUGCCUGAGCAUCAGUGCCUGUUAAGGAAACUUUUCAUUUUGGUAUAGAAACUUUGGAGGAUUUGUCAGUAAAUUAGUAUAAUGUUUGUUCCUAUACAAUUUUGCCUGUUCCGUGGCCUUGUUCUUUGGGCAUUAUGUUUCUAUACCAAGUUUUACCUUUUCGAAAACAAUAUUCAAUUUUAAUUUGACUUUUUAACUUUUUGAAAACAAUAUUCAAUUUUAUUUUGACUGCAGGGAAAAAAGAAUCCAGCUACUGACCAAGCGGCAGUGAAAUCAUUCCUGGGCCAAGUAAAAAAAGCAAGGGAAAUGAAUAUUGAUAGGUACUGUCUUGCUUGAAAAGAAUUAAAGAUAUUAUUUGCCAUGAAACCAGAUCAGCUCUUUCAUCUAUCUCAUCUGAUGAAGUAUUUUAUGCUCUUCUACAAUUUUUGUUCCACUCAUCCCAGAGCAAGAUUAGUACAUGUCCUCUUCAGCGUAUGGAAGAAAACACUCACAUUAGCUACUUUUCUGUUUCAGUUGGCAUAUCAUCAUGAGGAUGCGAGUUCCACAGGAAGGCCCGUGCGAUCCUAUUGCUCCCUUAGAUCUUCCGCAUUCGUUGCAUGCAUUCCACCGAGUAUCAGCCUCUGACUCUCUCAAUGUGGUAAGAAAUAUCUUCCAGAUGCAACCUUUUUUGUGUUACUUGUUUUGAUUUUUAAGGUAAAAGCACCCAUUGUUAGUCACUCUUUAGUUCUGAGUGCCAAUAUAUAUACCAGCAUCUUAUUUUACUUUCUUUUUCAGGAGGGCUACCAUACAUUCCGUGGAGGAUUCUGGAAUUAUUUUAGCAUGGGUAAGAGUUCCUCUGUUCAUUCUGUUCCCAGACAAGCACCAUAAAUUUAUUCAUCAAGAACGUUGGCUGGUGUACUUAAGGUACAGUAGACGGAAACUUUCACCAUUAGUAAUCAGGACUAUGUAUCAGAACUUGAAGUAUCAGAGAAUUGUGAUGUCCCGGUGAUGAAAAUCAUAAGCUGUUUGUCUAGCAAAACCUUAAGUAUCCUGAUUUGAAUAUUGGAAAAGGUUAAUAACCAUGACCAUCAUAAUUUAAACAUACUGCAGGAAUGGAUGCACAAGUAUCAUAUGAAUUCCACUCUGAAAGGAAGAGAAAUCCAGAGAAGUUCAAAAACCAGCUAACAAAUCAGGUAUAUUUUCAAGACAGCUCACUUUUUUUAUUGGUUAUUCAGAUUUCCAAUCCCCAUCCAUCUUCUUGGUGUUCGAUGGUUCUUGAAAUGCAUUUCUUUGAUUCAGGGUACAUAUGCUAAGCUUGGACUUAAGCAAGGAUGGUUUGCUGCUUCCCUAACCCAUCCUUCUUCAAGGUACUUUGUCACUAUUGUAGCUACAAUGCUUCUGAUCCUGAUUAUAUUAUACUACCAGCAUGUUCAGUAUAGUAUCGAAGUAUGGAUGAGACACUAGUUCUGUCUGUAUAUGGAACUCCUGAACUGCACCAUCAGCUUUAAGAGUCACUGUAUACCUUGACCUCAGAUCAUCAGAUGCAUAUGUAUGACUUAUACUACUUCCACUUUCAGGAACAUUGCACAACUUGCGAAGGUGAAGAUCAUGAAAAGACCUGGUCGCCAAUGGGAAGAGCUUAUAAUUCCUCGCAGGUAAAUAAUCUCUAUAGCAUCUGCACUGUCAGCAGUAUCACUGCAUAUGUUUCAUUUGUACCUCUGAAAUCCAUGCUGCUUCCCAUGAUGAAAACUGACAAAUGUUAUCCAUCUUCUUCAGCAUUCGGUCAAUUAUCUGCCUCAACUUGCCAAGUUUCUCAGGAGGAUUGAAUCCUUGGGGUACACCUGGAACGAGGAAAGUACAAGACGUGAGUUUCCUUGAAACCUUUUACCAAUUUGUUGUUGUGCUGAUGACCUACUAUGGGAAGAUAUUCAUAAGUUUUCGUGGCAUUAUGCAGAGAGACCUGACGGCACCUUAUGUUGACGAUGGCCUUAUUGAGGUUGUUGGUUUCCGUGAUGCCUGGCACGGGCUCGUCUUGCUGGCACCUAAUGGCCAUGGAACCCGUCUAGCACAGGUGAAGUACUGCUCUGCUGUAUCAACACCUGGUACACACUGCAGCUAAUUCAAGAUUACUGACGGCAUUUACUCGCAGGCCCACCGAAUCCGUUUCGAGUUCCACAAAGGAGCGGCCGAGCACACGUUCAUGAGGAUCGACGGUGAGCCAUGGAAGCAGCCUCUCCCCAAGGAGGAUGACACCGUCGUCGUGGAGAUCUCUCACCUCCGCCAGGUGGCCAUGCUGGCCUCUGAAAACUGCAGGUCGAAGAGCGUCAACGACCCCUCCUCCCCGUCGUGCCACAGCCACGACGACGACGACAGUAACAGCCUGGAGGACGAGGACGAGUGGGAGGACGGGAGGAAGAAGUUCGGUGCAGCUGCCACCUUCAAGAUCCCUGACGAGGUCGAUAUAGCUCAUCUUAGCUAGUGCUCGUGCUUCUUCUUCUCUGCUCGUGCUGGGUUGGGCACCCGGUUGGAAAGUUCAGAAGCCAUUUCAGAAUGUUCACUGCUGCUUAGUGAUACUGCACCCUUUUUUGGCGUUGGGAAGUUCAGAUUCCGGAAGUUGACAACUGCUGUUAGCGAUACUGCUCUCUAUUAUCCUGUAAAUUUCAAGUUCAACAGAGGUGGGAAGGUGAUCGACAGACGUACAUGGGCAAUUGAAUCAGGGAUGUUGCCUUUCCAUCUAGCGGUUAGGAAUUCAACAGAUUUGGGGCCUCCCAUUUGUCGACAGAUGGCUAUACUAUUCCUUUAUGUUAAUUGGUUGUUCUGUUGCUAUCCGCUGGUCUUGACUCUUGAGUACGGGGGCGGUAAUGAAAAGGAUGCCUUUCAUUCAGAUCGUCAAAUCCAAAGAGGCAAAACAUUUACUAAUCGCUAUUACGUGAGUGCCUCGGUGGUAGCAUUCGUUGUGCCGUGUUAAACCAGACAUGGCACGCAUGUUUAUCCAACUUUCGGAGUUGAAUUUCAAGUAUUUUGCGCCUUCAAGGGUACACAUAUAUAAUCUCCAUUUUUGCUCACAACGUUGUUUCGUGAAGCUUUUGAACACAUUGCAAAAUUCUCAUGUAAAAUCUCACAGCAUUUAUUUGUAUAUCCUUCCUCCGUUUUCAAAUAUACGAUUUAACCAAAUAAUUUGUACCCAAAAACGUAUGAUAUAUACUUAUAAAUGAACGAAUAAAACAUUAGCAGACCUGUCAAGCAGCAAUGAAGUUUCAUUUAGGUCUAUAACUUCGACUAUGACGGGUUCUCCAUCAAAAUUUCCUCUAGUGACACGCACAGGUGAUCGUUUAACUUUGUUUUUACUGGAAACAUGUGGGGCAAAGUCUUCGGAUCUGAACUUUUUUUUAAGAAAGAAAGAAACAGCAACAAAAGAAGUUUAUGUACAAAGAAAAAUUAAGAGUAAAUUACAUCCACCAUACAAUAACUUGUUAAAUGUGUGCAUAUACGGUCACAUGUACUCCACGUAGAUGUAUUUUACGACCAUGUCAAGUGAUGUGGACAGUUUUAUGCACAUAACCACCUAUCAUUAUCCCCUUCUCAUCUAAGUCUUAAUUAUCCAGGUGUGUAUCUUUUGUUUGUUUAACAUUGGUGAAUAAUAUAUCAUGCAAAUAUUAAGAAAAAACUAUGAUGAUGGUCAAUUAUUGCUUCCAUAAUCGCUGGAUCAGGUGGUACUUGUUCCCUAAUCUCUGAUUCAUUCACCAAAUUGAAGUUGGCUCUAGCAUUUGUUUUCUGAUUCGAUCUUAUGGAACAAGGUGGGCGCUCCCUCCUUUAUACUACUGUUUUUCCUUGUUUUUUUCUCUCUCUUCCGAAUCACAAGAACUUGAUGUGCAUGCGCAGGUGGCUUGCAAUUAGAAUAGAGUAGGGAUAUUUUUUUAAGGGAACGAACACAGUAUGGGUUUAACACAAACCUUUUUACUCUACGAAUGGUGCGUGUCAUCUGUAUCAAAUUUGAAUAUGUCUCCGUGGGUGAACAUUUAUGAUUAGGUGUAAACAAGAUUACAGAGCUGAUGAGUGGUUGUGUUCAUGUGUCAAUUAGUGUGAACAAAAUAACCGAGGCUGCAUGCAUAUUCCAGCAUGUGCGAACAAGCACUCGUAUGGCACAUAUAAACUUCUAGCCGGAUUAUGGAAUUUAGUAAAUCAAAUUAUUAUGGAUUAUGUUUAUAUAUUGAUGCAAAUAUACUAUAUAAUUGUGCUUCUAAAAGAAAUUCAUUUAACUUAUUUGAAUCCACAGUGCAAUCUCUUCUACAAGCAGUAAAAUUGUUGUUGUAUAUCAUUAUUAAGGCAGGUUUCACCCGAUAUGGUCACCCAUCGUCAAAGUUUUUCUUUAAUCGUUUCAUCAAUCCGUUCACUUGCGCACAUGCUUAAGACUUAAGACCUACGAUAAAGGAUAACGAUAGGGAUUACGCGCAUAAAACUUUCCAAGUCACCUGGUGGCUAAAUACAUCUACUUUAUGUAUAUGUGAUUGUGUAUUCACACAUUUGACAAGUUUGUGUAUCUAUUUGCAUAUUUUGCUUCUUGUUGUAUCUAAACCAUACAAAUUUUUGUAUGGUAAGUGCAAUUUACUCAAAAAUAAAAAAAAACUACAUGAACAGAGGGCACGUUUAUUUUUCUCCCUUUUGAACGGAAGAAAUCUACAGCUAACAGCAACUCCAAUAGACCCUCUAAACAGCCCCCUAUUUAGAGGGCAAGUAAAAAAAUAUAUUUCAGCAGACCCUCUAUUUGUCUUCCUAUUGUGGAAGGUCACUAUUCCUCCCUCCCCCUCCAUUCCUAGAGGGUCCUGUUGGAAGAUCUCUAUUUAUGGGACUAUUGCUGAAGUUGGUGAAGUUGGAGAUGUGACCCUUAAAACCAAAUAGAAAGAAUCUCCAUUUAACCUUUGCGUGUUUUGAUUCAAUGCUAUUGCUGCGGUUGCUGUUAAUACCGUGUUCGAUCAGAAAUACCUUCAGUCACGUAAUCUGUCAGAGCCACGACGCCAGGCAGAACGCGGCGCGGCCGACGUCACACGUGAUGCGAGCGAGGAUGGAGAUACGAUAGCGACGAGAAAUGACGGCUUCUGGAGAGCUCUGUUCCCGCAGCGAACGCCCGCUGUUUCAGAUAACCACGUUCCGCGCCGCGCGCGUCCACCAGAAACGGAAGAGACAAGCAGCCCAACGGCGGCGCCGUCCUCCCCUCUCCUUCCUUCCACGCACCAGUAUAAAAGGACCCGCGCCUCUUCGCACUCCACGUCAAUCCACAAAGCCAAGAUCACAGAGUUCGGUGAUUUCGUGUGGGAGGAGGAGAAGAGCGAAGCGAUGAGCUUGAGGUACAUGAGCCGGGUGGGCGCGCGGGCGGCGCAGGCGGUGCGAGAGAGCACCGGCAGGUCCGUCAAGGACAAGGCGCAGUCGGCCUCUUCGUCGGCCUCGAUGGCGAGGAGCGGCAGGGCGGUCGGGUGGGUGGACUCGGGCAGGAUCAGCGCCGCCGCGGCGGCGAGGAGGAAGGCGGAGGAGGAGAAGCGGCGGCGCGCCGAGCAGGCGCUGCGCACCGUCAUGUUCCUCUCCGUCUGGGGUCCCAACACCUAGAAUUUGCAGACCAUCUGCGUGUAAUUGCUGCUAGCCUACUACUGUUGUGCUUGCGCAUGUUUCUGUUCGAGAUGAAGGAAUUGUAAAUGACCUGAUAUAUGGACACAAAUCGAUCUGUUGAUUCUUCGAACAAGGCUCUGGCUCUGUUGCUGAUCUCAAGAUGUCUCUGAUGUGUCUGCGUACCUAUUCGUUCUCUUUCAAAUCUGUUUUCUAAAGUGCUGCCAAGGUUACGCACUGCUGCGACUGCUUGUUUCCUCGAGCUGUCCGCAGUGCGUGGCGUUCUCUGUUCGUACGUGAAUAUUGAUCGACGGUUCCGUGCAAUCCUCUACUGACAAGAGCUAGUCUUGUAAAUGGUUAGAAUGACAGAAUCAGGGCAUCAGUUCUGAACUCUGAAUUUGCAAUUUGGCAUCAACUCUGAACUCUGAAUUUGCAAUCUGAGAAAGAUUCUUAAGCAGGUCACCCGUGCUCUCCACUUUCAGUUCAGCAAGGCAGUACACAUACCUCCAGACCUCCCCUUUCAUUCUUUAGUUCGCCUCCUCUCCCGUCAGAGGUGAGAAUGUCCAUUUUGAAGGUCAGCUUGAGCAGCAACGAGGAGGGACGCCUCCCCACCAGAACAGGUUAAGGCACGGAUCCGAUGGUGGCACGUCAGGGCCGCCAUGGUGAUGAGGGAAGCACGCGCUGCUCGCCUCCCGGUUGCUUCCUAAUUAUCAUCCAUGGCGGUGUCAAGGCGAGGGCGGUGGCUCGGUGCCGACGAGACGGCGGCGCCCAUGAAGCCUACGCGUCAGCUCCGGCGACGCGGGUGUGCGCGUUCUCUUAAGUAAGGUGGCCUGGGACUCGGGACGGCGAGGAUGGCGUCCCGCCGCCGGCAGCGCGGCCUCGCCGGCCGCCAUGACUCCGGCCAACGAGCUUUUUCAUAAAACUCCCUGACAAUAUUUUCACAAACCCCCUUAUUUGGAUCGCGAUUAAUAGUUGCGAUCCAAAUUAGGGGGUUUUGUGAAAACUGCGAUCCAAUAGUUUUCUGAAACGCCCCUACUUUGGAUAUAUAUUUCGCAGAAAAGCCCUCUUCCUCCUCCGUUCGGCAUCUCGUGCUCUGCUCUGACGAUCCGCCGGCGCCGAUGGCCGCCGCAGAUCCCGUGCAGUGGAAGCGCAAGUUCCAGCCCAACCCUUCCCCUUCAAACCCUAGCACCGUCUCUUCCCCUCUUCUGGUCCAAAGGGAGAUUCCCCGGCUCCGAUUUCACUUGUCGCCGAUCUGGCGCCCUCGUUCUCGUUGGGUCAAUGGUGGCCCGCGAGACGACACGGCGCCUUCGAUUAUUCGAUAGCAUCGGCAGGUCCGUGAAGGACAAGGCGCAGUCGGCCCCGUCUUCGGCGUCGAUGGCGAGGAGCGGCAGGGUGAGCGCCGCCGUGGCGGCGAGGAGGAAGGCGGAGGAGGAGAAUCGGUAGCGCGCCAACUCUGAAGUUAUCAUGUGCCAACAAAAAUUGUGCUGAAGCACGUGACACAUAUGCAGAUCUUGUACAGACACGACUCUCCGACUCUGCUCCGACUGGUGACGAAACUGGAGAGCAAGAACGCAGCCUAAUUUGGUCCCCAGCACACGAGGUGCAUCACGUUCUCGGCCUUCUGCGCCUUCCUCCUCCUCAGCUUCUCCACCGCGACCGCCUUCUCCAUGGACACGCUGCUCCGGCUGCCGCCAGCCCCGGAGACCACCUGCCCUCCCUGCGGCCGCUGCGCCGCUGGUGCCGCCGUCCCCGCAGGCUUCACAGCGCCGCCAGGCAUCGGCACCGCCCUAGCCGCCGGCUGCCUGGCCCGCACGGCCUGCGCCGCCCGCAACACCACCCUGCUCGCGUACCUCAGGCUCAUCGAUGCCAGUUGCUCAAAACUCUGAAACUAGGUGCUAUUCCGAAUUCAGUGAAUUUUUACUGUGUUGAUGAUGGAAGACGGCGCGCGCAGGCUGUAUAUAUGCAAAGGGGGAGAGAGCACGGCGCCAUGGCGGUUCAGUUCCGAAACCGUCAGGCUGAUGGACGAGCGGCGGCUCUGCACGCGGUUUCGCUCCAUGAUUUUCUUUUCCGGUGUGCGCGAAUAUGUGGGAGCGUCCUGCAGGUUUCGAGGACGACGGGCACGGAUGCUCUCGUCAGCGGCCGGAUCUUCAGUGGCCGCUCAAUUUGCCGAGUGAGAACAAAGCGAAAUGGUGCUUGGUGCGUGCGGACAACUAGUGAUGGGUGGGGAAGGAUUGCUAGGGGAGAUGGAUCAUGGAUGAUGGGGUGCUCUCAGUUGGGGGCCUGUCAGUUUCAGGGUUAUCACGUUGAGGAGGCGUGAUGUGUGCUAGGUCUUGUUUAGUUGGCAAAAUUGGGAGAUGCCAAAUUACUGUUACAGUACUGUAGCACACUGUAG
rnacentral:lncRNA from 1 species